UCAUCAAAAUAAGGUUUUAAAGGAGUACUAUUUACCUUAAAAGUGUCGAAUUUGGAAUAAGUUACCUCUACUGCACGGUAUGGAAAAAUGCUAAGUACCGUAAAAGGGAUUGCUCCAUUUGGUUCAGAAGUGGUAAUAUAAAGGUAUGCCGCAUCUAAUAGUACUUUGUCCCCAACCUUAAGUUGAUUUGAUAAAACAUUUAGUCCAUCAUGGCGUGGUUUUAGUUUAUGGUGUGUUCUCGGUUUCUGUGUAUAUCAUUCAUCUAGUUCCUCGAUCUGUAGCCUUCUCUCUUCAUAGAUGGGUCCUUUGUUGUUACUUGAACAUGGCUCAUGUAUGCUCUUCGAACAUGUUUCCUGCAAAGAAGGUUGCACCACAUGAUCAGAUUAGUAACAUUAUUUAUACAAACACCCUCAAUAUUCGAUGUGUUACUCGAAUUACGAGCAUGAAGAGUGAUUGUUUCAUCACCCACACGAAGUGUGAGUUCACCUGUACCAACAUCAAUAAUAGUUCUAGCAGUUGCUAAAAAGGGUCGUCCUAAAAUCAAAGGUACGUCACUAUCCUCUUCUAUGUCUAAAACAACAAAAUCAAUUGGGAAUAUAAAUUUGUCAAUUUUAACAAGUACAUCUUCAAUAAUACCCCUAGGAAAUCUAAUUGUUUUAUUUGUCAAUUGAAUGUGCAUCCUAGUUUGUUUGGGUUUCCCAAUACCUAGUUGUUUAAACAUUUUAUAGGGCAUGACAUUAAUACUAGCCUCUAAAUCAGCCAAAGCAUUGUUAAUGUUUAAACUGCCAAUUAAACAAGGAAUUGUAAAACUCCCUGGAUCUUUCAACUUUUUGGGUAGCUUAUUCUGUAGAAUGGCUAAGCAAACUGCAUUUAACUCCACAUGCGACGCCUCAUCCAACUUCCCCUUAUUUGCUAAAAGCUCCUUUAAAAAUUUAACUGCGUUUGGCAUCUGUGAAAGAGCUUCAGUAAACAGUAAGUUAAUAUGUAAUUUUUAUAAUAAUUUAAGGAAUUUACAAAAUUGUUCAUCUGUGUGGUCUUUCCUUGUCACUCUGGGAUAUGACAUACGAGGUUUGUACUCUUUACUUACCAAUUUUCGCUCACUGUGGUCCACCUCAUCCUUACCUUUACUUACCACAAUUUCUUGCCUCGAUUCUGGUUGAGGUUCAACUAACCCUUCUUUAUCUCAAACGGUAAUCGCAUUAAGCUAUUCCCUUGGGUUAGAUUCAGUGUUACUCGGCAAGCUACCUUGUGGUUGUUCAGAAAUCAGUUUAGCAAGCUGGCCUAUCUGAGUUUCGAGCCUUUGAUUGACACUUGUUGAUUCUUAAGUGUUGUUUCAGUAUUCUAAAAAUGAGUUCCCGACCUCGAGAUAAAUUUUGUUAGCAUCUCUUCAAGGUUCGGCUUCUUUUCCUGCUGGUAAGGUGGUUGUUGAAAACCUAGGGGAUGCAGUGGCCUUUGAUUUCCCUGGCCACCCCACGAGAAAUUGGGAUGGUUCCUCCAACCUGCAUUAUAAGUGUUACUGUAUGGGUUAUUUUGAGGUCUAGAAUUAUUGUUACCCAUAUAUUGAAAUUGUUCCUCCCCGGUGCUAAGGUUGAAAGAUUCAUAUUCUGUGUGUACUCCUCCUCCAUUUGAAUCGUACCUCAUCACUAGAUGUACCUGAGUAGAACAAUACAAAUCGUCAAUCUUUUUAUUUAAAAGAUCUACCUGGUUAGACAGUAUAGUAACCGCGUCGAGGUUGAAAACACUGGCUACUUUUGUCGGCUUUGUUCUCAUGACUUGCCACUGAUAGUUAUUCAAUGACAUCUCUUCAAUAAAUUCGUAAGCCUCUUCAGGUGUUUUGUUGUUCAAAGUUCCACCGGCGGCUGCGUCGAUAAUUUGCCUUGUUGAGGGGUUCACAGCAUUGUAAAAAGUCUGAACCUGCAGUCAUAAAGGUAACCCAUGGUGAGGGCACCUUCUUAAUAUGUCAUUGUAUCUCUCCCAUGUAUCAUACAGGGUUUCUAGAUCCAUCUGGACAAAAGAGGAGAUAUCAUUCCUUAGUUUAGUCAUUUUAGCCGACGUAAAAUAUUUUAGUAAAAAUUUUUAUGCCAUUUGCUCCCAAGUUGUGAUUGACCCUCGUGGUAACGAGUUCAACCACUACUUAGCCUUAUUCCUCAAUGAAAAGGGAAAUAACCGAAGGUGAAUGGCAUCGUCAAAAAUGCAAUUGAUCUUAAAGGUGUCGCAGAAUUCCAGAAAAUUUGCCAAAUGAGUGUUUGGAUCUUCGUCGUACAAACCACCAAACUGAACAAACUAUUGUAUAAUUUGAAUCGUGUUAGGUUUCAGUUUAAAAUUAUUUGCAGUAAUAGCAGGUCUAACUAUACUCGAUUCAGCUCCUGUUAAACUAGGUUAGCAUAAUCAUACAUAGUACGAGGAGCGGGAUCCUGAUUUACUCGGUUCGCAAUAGCCAUAAGAGGUAGCAGAUUAUUAUGAUUAUCCGCAAUCUCCUCGGUUGUGGUUUGAAUAUCAUCCUCUUGCCCUUCCUCUAUGUAUUGUAGGCUUUGUCUUAUUUUUCUUCGAUUUAUACGAGCUGUGCUUUCGACCUCACUAUAAAAAACUAGAGGUCCUGACAGGUUCCUUCUAGUCAUAAACUAUAAAAACCUGCCAGAAGUAAAUAAAAGAAAAUUUAGUAAUAUAAAAAAAUAAUAUUUAAAUUGCAAUAAAAUAAAUGGCUAAAGUAAUAAAAAUUAAGCGUUCCUAAUAUCUUAGUUCCCCGGCAAUGGCCCCAAAAACUUGUUAUGCGUGAUAAGUUUUAUAUUUAUGAUUGAUCGUACUUGAAAACUAACUAUUAUCACGAUAAAGGCAAGCGUACCUAUCGAACAGUAGUAUAGUUUAUAGCAAGAUCGAAAUAUCGAACCCACAAGAACUAAAAGUACUAGUAUUAACCUUCUUGUUAUUAUCUAGCCUAAAAAUAAGGGGAUUUGCUUUAUCUAAACUAAUUAACUAAAUUAAGAAUGCACAAGAAGUAAAUUGGGGAAAUACUUUUGGGAAAACUGAUUGAUUUAAACAAUACCCAAGGAAGAAUCCACCUAGACUUCACUUGAUAUUUGACUCUGAAAUAGACAAUUUAUUCACUUGACUCGAUCCAUAGAAAUCCUUAACCUUCUUUUUAUUAUCUAGCCUAAAAAUAAGGGGAUUUGCUUUAUCUAAACUAAUUAACUAAAUUAAGAAUGCACAGGAAGUAAAUUGGGGAAAUACUUUUGGGAAAACUGAUUGAUUUAAACAAUACCCAAGGAAGAACCCACCUAGACUUCACUUGAUAUUUGACUCUGAACUAGACGAUUUAUUCACUUGACUCGAUCCAUAGAAAUCCCUAAUUUAUAUUAUUAUCUCUCUCGAGACUACCAACGUCUAACCCUAGGUGGAUUAAUUGAAAUCUCUUUCUAAUUAAAACCCCUAGUGUUGCAUUAACUCGCUCUAUAGAUUCCCCUAUUAGGUUUGACCCUAAUCCGGCAGAUUUAUGUCGCCCUAUGUCUAGGGAUGCAAUCAACUCCACUUAAUUAUGCUAGAUCUACUCUUAGAAAGUGACUUUUUCUCCUCUGAAUAAGCACAUCAAUACUUGAAUCAAUAUCCUAGAAUAUUAAAGCAAAAAUUAAGAACACAUAAUUAAGAACAAAUCAAGUAUUUAUCAUAUAAUUCAGAAAACAGUAACAAGAUUCGUCUUAGGUUUCAUCCCUCUUAGGUAUUUAGGGGAUUUAGAUCAUAUGUGUAAAAGAAAACAUCUCAGAAGAAUAAUGAUAACAAAACAUAAAGAAAACUCAAAAACCCCUGAAGGAAAUUGAAGGGAGAUCUUCAAUCUUGAAGGAGAAUCCGACUUCUGAGAUGGAUUGACCGGCUUUUUUCGAGUAAUUCCUUGCCUCCUACUCCGUGUGUUCCUCUAGGUGCCUCCUCGGGUGUUUAUAUAGGCUUUAGAAUGCUUUAAAAACCUCAAAAGUGGCCUUUUCUGAGUAGAACUGGACUUGGGCUUGACAGGGACACGGCAGUGUGCCAUGCCCGUGUGGGGUGGUUUAGGCUAUGUUAAAGUCUGCUAAAUAGACACGGGCGUGUGGUGUGGCUUAGGCCAUGUUACAAUCUUUUAAAUAGACACGAGCGUGUGGUCUACCCGUGUAAGGAAGUCUAGGCCGUGUUAAUUUCCCACAUUGACCCAUUUUCUCCGUUUUUGGCUUGUUUCUUGCUCUUUUUAAUCUCCUAUGCUCACCUAAGUAUAAAAAAUGAAAUUAAAGGAUUAGGAGCAUCAAAUUCCACAAAUCUAAUGAUAAUUCAUCCGAAAAUGUACUAAUCAUGGGAUAAAAAUAUGUAUAAAUUACGACUUAUCAAAUACCCUCAUACUUAAGCGUUUGCUUGUCCUCAAGCAAAGUCCUCAAUUCACAAUUUAGAAUUCAUUUUUCUCAACUUAUAAUUCCUAUCAAUAAUAUCUCAAAAUAAUCCAUAAGUAAUCAUACAUUGAGAAUUCAACUAGAAGAACAUCAAAGUUUCAAACAUUCCAAGUUGAGCAUUUUAUCAGGAAAACAUAGGUGUCUCCCCUCAUCUAAGUAAUCACCUUUGAUUUAAAAUAUCACAGAAUUCAACAUCCUCACUAAAGAUUCACUCAAAUCACUCGAGGUGUUUAAGGACAACAAAUUUAGCACUCAUCAAUCAAUAUGAAAAGUUAUUACCAUAGGCUUGCAUGAAAAUCAAAUCUUCACCACUAUAUAUUAAGAUGAUACAUCAAUCAAAAGGUCUUUAGAGGGUUGUAACGUGGCUUUGGUUAGGGGGUGUGGUCACAAGCUGAAAGAGAAAGUUAGAAUCGAGAUUGAAUUGAAAAAUUACCUAACUAGAAAAAUACUAAAGCUGAAAAAUUACAUUCCUAAUUAGAUGAUCCUAGAAUUGAGCUUUUUUUCAUGGUUAACAUCGUUUUAAACCAAGCAUUACAUAAUUUCGUAAUAUGCUAGACGACAAAUCUCAAUUACAGCAACUUCGUUCGUUUUUUUUUUAAGAACAAAUCAAGUAACAUAGAACUUUGCUAACUAUCAAAAAUAAAACAUAGCUAAGAAAUUUAUUCAAAUCAAAUCUUGUCAAAAAUAGGGAUCAAAUUAAUUGAGGGGAUUUCAACAAUAAUGGGUUAUGGGUUAAUAUUGAGGGUAAAUCAAUGAAUGGCUUGUUAGGCUCAAGGAGGUUCACUAAGGGUUAAAUAUGAAGGUAGACUUUUAUAGAGUGAGUGGGUUAAACCUAAGUGUCUUUAUCAUCUCGAUAAAUCAAAUCAGUGGUGUGGUCUUGAAUGAAUAAUCGAAGCAAGUUCUAGAAUAACAAAUCAAUAUUGAUGCACUCAUAGCAACAAUGAAAGUGAGCAUGAAAGAAAUAAUAUAUGCUCUAAAGGCUCAAGAUCUCACAAAAAUUAUGGCUUUUUGAUUUUAAUCCUGUGAAUUUCAACUUCAAGAUAAUACCUAAACUUGGGGAAAUAACCUAAAAAAUUUUAAUUCUCAAAAAUCAACUUAUCAUGUUUGAUUCUCUAAUUCCUUAAAGUUUAAACAAUCAAUGCAUAAAUGCCUAUGUUUUGAAUUCAAGACAUAUCAAUAAAAAUCAUAAAUUAAUCAAAAUUCAUUCUAAUAGUGAUAUGAGUGAGUCACGUGAGAAUAAGACAAAAUUCAUGGAUUUUUCUGAUAAUGAUAUAAAUAACCCCCCACACUUAAGAUGUACAUUGUCCUCAAUGUACAAAAAUAGAUUUACUGAAAAAUAUAGAUAUAAGCUCAUAAGAUAGGGAGAGAAGUGAAACUUCCUGAAUGUUAAAUGGAAUCCUUGAAUUGGAGUCAUGAAAAGUAAUUGGCUAAGACAAGGGUGAGAUUGGAGGAGGAUACUCCCGUGGUGGUAGAGGUUGUUAGUCCACAAGUCCUGUGCUAAAAGAAUAUUAUAACUGGUGGUAGCUAUGGCCGUGGUCGAGCAGGGCAUGGCAGUCGUAGAGGACAUUUUCCAAUGGAGUUGCAAAUUCCUAAGUAAUAGUGAGCUUUGGAGCUCUUCACAACUGCGAUAGAAUCAUUAACUCUUUAGGAAAUAUAAAGUAGCAUGAUUACUCAUAAAGAAAUGGCCAAAAACAUAAAUUACAUAAUAUAAAUUGUAAAACCUAAAGAUAAAAAUAAAAAUAGUAUCAAAGAGAAAUAAAAUGAAAAGUAAUUUAAAAAGAUAAAUAAAGAUAAAAGUGAAAAUAAUAAUAAUAAAUAAUAAAUAAAAGUCUUCAAAAAUCCUCAUCGCCAGAUGGUUCGCGAGGUAGGGGUGGCGAUGAGAUGUGAAGGUGCUGACAAAUCUGAUGUAAGGUUGCAUCAAUGUGAUCGAAGCGCUAAAAACAUUGCUGCUCGAAUCGAGUAAGAUGCUCAGAGAUGUCAGAGAGUGAAGCAGUCGCAUGAACUGGAAGAUGAAUAGGUGGUGGCUGAGAUGGUGGAUCCUCGUGAGGUGGAGGGACAUCAUCAGUAAUGUCCUCUGGGUCUUCCUACUCAACUGACUGGACGAGGCGGUACUGAGGAGGAUCAAAUCCACGUCGCCGCUCGAUCAUCCUCUUUUGGAUCAUACUCGAGAUGCCCUGUGGGGACAUCUGAUCGAUGAGGGUGAGGGAGGAUGAUUGUGGUGCCGUGUUGAGGAGACCAAAGUACCAUGAUAGAAAUGUCUCCCUACUUAUGCCGCUUUGUCUGAUGGCGAAUGGCGAGGGUGAUGAAAUAAGCGAGGUCGAAUACGUGCCCAUAAGCCAUGCUCCAUAAAAAAUAAGUGUCGUUAGUGCUGACGGCACUGGUACUCUCUUACCGUUCUGUUAGGGUGUGGGCUAGGAUGGCGUGUAAGUAUCUCAGUGAUGGUGCGAGAGCUAAUGCCUUGGAGCGACUAGGGUCAUAAGUGGUCGAAGCAGGGACUAGGGUUUUCCAACAAUUUGAAGGAGAAUAGUGGAUGUGACGAUGGAGACUGUCGAAGUCGUCGUCGUCCAUGAACUCCUCCGUAUAGAGUCCUAAUACGGCAUCGAACUCAGGCACGUUCAACUGGUGAACUAAACCGCUGAGACGGAACUGGACUGUUUCGAGAUCAUCAAACUCUGUCAUAAUGGUUUGAAAGUGGAAGGUCGAACAGAGUUCUAAUGUGAGAUCGAGAUAUGUCGGCUCGACGAUCUCAAAAAAGAGCCCCUAUGGAUUAGUAGUCAGGAGAGCUCGGACUGCGUCAGCGAGUUGGAUCUGCUCUAGAGCAGUCCAAUCAAUACAUCGGCCUGCGCUGAUGGGUCUUGCACGGAGUAUUUAAAAAAGUUCCUAUUGGGGUCCCAAGGGAAACUAUAAGAAGGGGUGGCGCACUUCGGCAGAUGCGAUUGCUGACAUGGCUCCAGAUCCCUUCCGUUUUUUUGAAGCGAAGGCGGCGGUUUUCUUACCACGUGGAUUUGAAAUAGUGUGCCUAUGUAUAAAAGAGUAAGUCAUCAAUAAUAAUUCCUACAUCUGCAAGCAAAGUCUAAGUAAUCCAAAAAUAAUAACUUGCUCAUAAGAUAAUAUGGACACAAAUUCAAGCAUGCUAAAAACAAAACGUGGUGAUAUUUCAUAUGAAUCAACGGGCUAAAUAUAAGAUGGACAGAGUACUAAGGCUAAACCAAGCGAAUGCUAAAGGACCAAUCAAGUGAUAGUGGAUAAUACUAUUAAUAAUCCUAAUCACGUGGGCAAAUCAAACAAGAGUAAAGAUCAAUGAAAUGACUAAGUAAAUCUUUAUCAUUAGUAAAGUUGGAAAUCACUAAACAUAGAUAAGCAUGCAAAUUAUUAACAAUGAAAACAAUUAUAAGUCAAGAAAUCAAUAAAAGAAGUAAAAUAAAAAGUAAUGGGGUGAAAGGGAAACAAACGACUGAUGAACGAUGGUGGUGCUUGACGGAAGAGGGGUGCGGUGUCGACGUGUCGCAGAUGACGGCGGUGGUGGUACUGGUGCGACAGUGGGGUGUGGGAUAAGUGAAGUAAGGAAGAAGAAGAUGGGAAUGUGUAGGGAAUGAAGGACAAGAGAGAAGAUUUUGAUGUGUAUAGAAGAAAAAGGGAAAAGAAAUGGUGGAUUUUGGGAGCUUAGGUAGUGACGGCAGCGGAGAGGCUGGCGGCUAGGGUUAAGGUAUUGGGGAAGGGGAUGAUGAAUAGUGGGGGUUUAUACAGAUUUUGGGGCACACGGCCAUGGGGCACGCCUGUGUGCCCUUAUUUCAGCCCGUGUGUUUCGUGGUUUUCGAAUUGGGGCGCGUCUGGAAUUCGGCCCAUGCCCGUGUGCUUUGGGCGUGUUGGUGCACACGAUCGUGUCGCACGGCAGUGUCCUGCUUCGUUUGCUUCUCCCAUGCCCGUGCACAAAUGCGCACGCCCAUGUUAUUUUCACAGUUUCAACCACGGUUGGUAGGCACGGGCAUGUCGCACGCCCGUGUUAAUUUCUCAGUUUCUACCAAGGAUUAUAGACACGGACGGGUCGCACGCCCAUGUUGAUUUGGUAGGAUUGCUCACGGCCAUGUCGCACAGCUAUGGCAACAUAUCGAAUCCCGUGUUUUGGGAAAAAUUUCGCUCUGUUUCCACACGGCCGUGUCGCCGCCCGUUGUAUAAGCACGGCCUUAGGCACGCCCGUGUGCCUGGCCGCGUGGGUUUGGAAAACCUGUGUUCAAGGACUCAGUUAAUGCUUUAGAUGUUAAAAACUAAAAUUUAAAGAAAUCAAUACUGUUGUGCUCGGGUUGCCUCCCCAGAAGCGUUUAUUUAGAGUCUAAGCUCGACUUACCUCUUUGUUCGUGGUCAUGGUGGUGCGAGGAGUUUACACUCCUCAUUCCUACUAUCGAUUUCAUCGAAAUAAGGUUUUAGACGAGUAUUAUUUACCUUAAAGUGUCGAAUUUGGACUGAGUUAUCUCGACUGUACCGCAUGGGAAAAUACUAAGUACCGUAAAAGGGAUUGCUCUAUUUGGUUCAAAAGUGGUAAUAUGAGGGUCUGCCGCAUCUAAUAGUACUUUGUCCCCAACCUUAAGUUGAUUUGAUAAAACAUUUAGUCCGUCAUGGCGUGGUUCUGGUUUAUCGUGUGUUCUUGGUUUCUGUGUACGUCAUUCAUCUAGUUCCUCGAUCUGUAGCCUUCUCUCUUCAUAGAUGGGUCAUUUGUUGUUACUUGAACAUGGCUCAUGUAUGCUCUUCGAACGUGUUUCCUGCAAAGAAGGUUGCACCCCAUGAUCAGUAUUAGUAACAUUAUUUAUACAACCACCCUCAAUAUUCGAUGUGUUACUCGAACUACAAGCUUGAAGAGUGAUUGUUUCAUCACCCACAUGAAGUGUGAGUUCACCUGUACCAACAUCAAUAAUAGUUCUAGCAGUUGCUAAAAAGGGUCAUCCUAAAAUCAAAGGUACGUCACUAGCCUCUUCUAUGUCUAAAACAACAAAAUCAAUUGGGAAUAUAAAUUUGUCAAUUUUAACAAGUACAUCUUCAAUAAUACCCCUAGGAAUCUAAUUGUUUUUUUCUUCCAAUUGAAUGCUCAUCCUAGUUUGAUUGGGUUUCCCAAGACCUAGUUCUUUAAACAUUUUAUAGGGCAUGACAUUAAUACUAGCCCCUAAAUCAGCCAAAGCAUUGUUAACAUUUAAACUACCAAAUUAAACAAUGAAUUGUAAAGCUCCCUGGAUCUUUCAACUUGUUGGGUAGCAUAUUCUAUAGAAUGGCUAAGCAAACUGCAUUUAGCUCCACAUGCGACGCCUCAUCCAACUUUCCCUUAUUUGCUAAAAGCUCCUUUAAAAAUUUAACUACGUUUGGCAUCUGCAAAAGAGCUUCAAUAAACGGUAAGUUAGUAUGUAAUUUCUUUAAUAAUUUAAGGAAUUUACAAAAUUGUUCGUUCGUAUGGUCUUUCCUUGUCGCUCUGGGGUAUGGCACUCGGGGUUUGUACUUUUUACUUAUCAGUUUUCGCUCAGUGUGGUCCACCUCAUCCUUACCUUUACUUACCAUAAUUCCUUGUCUCGGUUCUGGUUCAAGUUCAACUAACCCUUUUUUAUUUCGAACGGUAAUCGCAUUAAGCUGUUCUCUUAGGUUAGAUUCAGUGUUACUCGGCAAGCUACCUUGUGGUCGUUCAGAAAUCAAUUUAGCAAGCUGGCCUAUCUGAGUUUCAAGCCCUUGGAUCGACACUUGUUGAUUCUUAAGUGCUGUUUCGGUAUUCUGAAAAUGGGUUUCUGACAUCGAGAUAAAUUUUGUUGGCAUCUCUUCAAGGUUCGGCUUCUUUUCCUGCUGGUAAGGUGGUUGUUGAAAACUUGAGGGAUGCUGUGGCCUUUGAUUUCCCUGGCCACCCCACGAGAAGUUGGGAUGGUUCCUCCAACCUACAUUAUAAGUUUUACUGUAUUGGUUAUUUUAAGGUCUAGAAUUAUUGUUACCCAUAUAUUAAACUUGUUCCUCCUCGGUGCUAGGGUUGAAGGAUUGAUAUUCUGUGUGUACUCCUCCUCCAUUUGAAUCGCAGCUCAUCACUGGAUGUACCUAAGUAGAACCAUACAAACCGUCAAUCUUUUUAUUUAAAAGUUCUACCUGGUUAGACUGCAUAGUAACUGCAUCGAGGUUGAAAACACCGGCUGCUUUUUUCGGCUUUGUUCUCAUGACUUGCUACUGAUAGUUAUUCAGUGACAUCUCUUCAAUAAAUUCGUAAGCCUCUUCAGGUGUUUUGUUGUUCAAAGUUCCACUGGCGGCUGCAUCGAUAAGUUGCCUUGUUGAGGGGUUCACACCGUUGUAAAAAGUCUGAACCUGUAGCCAUAGAGGUAACCCAUGGUGAGGGCACCUUCUUAAUAGGUCCUUGUAUCUCCCCUAUGCAUCAUACAGGGUUUCUAGAUCCAUCUGCACAAAACAGGAGAUAUCUUUCCUUAGUUUAGCCGUUUUAACUGCCGGAAAAUAUUUUAGUAAAAAUUUUUUGGUCAUUUGCUCCCAAGUUGUGAUUGACCCUCGUGGUAAUGAGUUCAACCACUGUUUAGCCUUAUUCCUCAAUGAAAAGUGAAAUAACCGAAGGCGAAUGGCAUCAUCAGAAAUGCCAUUAAUCUUAAAGUUGUCGUAAAAUUCCAGAAAAUUUACCAAAUGAGUGUUUGGAUCCUCGUCCUGCAAACCAUCAAACUGAACAAACUGUUGUAUCAUUUGAAUCAUGUUAGGUUUCAGUUCAAAAUUAUUUGCAACAAUAGUAGGUCUAGCUAUACUCGAUUCAGCUCCUAUUAAACUAGGGUUAGCAUAAUCACACAUAGUACGAGGAGUAGGAUCCUGAUUUACUUGGUUCGCAAUAGCCAGAGGAGGUAGCAGAUUAUUAUGAUUAUCCGCAAUCUCCUCAGUUGUGGUUUGAAUAUCGUCAUCUUGCCCUUCCUCUCUGUAUUAUAGGCUUCGCCUUAUCUCUUUUUAGUUUCUGCGAGCUGUGCUUUCGAUCUCACUAUCAAAAAGUAGAGGUCAUGACGGGUUCCCUCUAGUCAUAAACUAUAAAAACGUGCCAGAAGUAAAUAAAAGAAAAUUUAGUAAUAUAAACAAAAUAAAAUUUAAAUUGCAAUAAAAUAAAUGGCUAAAGUAAUAUAAAUUAAGCGUUCCUAAUAUCUUAGUUCCCCAGCAACGACCCCAAAAACUUGAUGUGUGUAAUAUCCUGAUUUUGGGCCUAGUCGGAAUAGUGGUUUCGUGACCACAAAAUCCUAGAUAGAAAUAAUGAUUUUAUGAUUAUUUUGAGGUCUAUGAUAUGAUUUCAUGAUUGUGUGAAAAUUUCGUGAAGAAAUUUUAUGCAUAAAGUGCUUAAAUUGAAAUUAGGGACUAAAUCGAAUAAUUUGCAAAACUUGCAUUCUAGAAGUUUCUAGUAUCAAAUUGUUUUGAAAUAUUAAUUAGGAGGUCUUAAAUAGCAAUUUUACCAAUUUAUAAGUCUAUGGACAAAAAUUGGACAUGGAUGGAAUUUUUGGAAAGUUUAGUAGUAAGGGCAUUUUGGUCACUUAGGGGUAAAAUGAAUUAAAAUACAAAAUUAAAAGCCAAUUUUGCUCAUCUUCAACCCCAUGGCCGAAUAUACCAAGGGAGACUCCAUGGCUAGGGUUUUCAAGCUUCCCAAGCUCAAUUGUAAGUCCGUUCUAACCCCGUUUUUCAAGUUCUUUACAUUUUUGGAGUCCCGGUAACUUGAUUUAGCUUAUGCUAGCAGUAAUUCAACCUAGGGUUCAUAUUUGGAAAAAUACCCAUAGGUAAAAUUUUUGUAUUCUGGUGUUUUAUGAUACAAUAUGAGGUUUUAAAUUAUGUUAGACGACUUGUACUACUCGGUUUUAAGCAAAAACGAGCAAAAGGGCUUAAUUGGUAAAAAUACCUAAUAGUCAUAAGUACAUGUUAGAGUGAGAAUUUGAUGUUUCCAUAGAAGGGAAAAAUGAUCAGCAUGUCAUAAAACAUAAGAAAAUAGGCUGAAGUUUAAUUUACGAGCUUUGAGGCAAAAGUGUAAAUAUGCAAAAGUUUAGGGGCAAAUGAUUUUGGGUCAAUUUGAAUAAUGUGAUUCCUAAUUAGACUAUAUUUUAAAUGAUAGAGCAAGGAAAACUAAAAUUCGGGCUAAAAUGGAAAAAUACCAACUUGUGGACGAAAUGGUAAAAGUAGCCAUUUUCGCAUACGAGGUAAGUUCAUAUGUAAAUGUUGGUGACAUAGUUAUUAUUUUAAAUGUUUUAAUGUUAUUUAAAUGAUAUGAUAAUUAUUAUGAAAUAUUAUACUGUGAUAAUUGUUUGUUAAUAUGUCAAAUUAUGUGAUAUACUUGGAAAAUGUGAAAUACUACCGAGUAUCGGUAACGGCAUUCCGUAGAAGAUGGUUGAGACACAUGAUUGGGAAAAAGGUCCCGUUGAACCUUAGGAAUGGAUUAGGAUACAAGUGACAUAUCACUAGGAUGUUUGGGCAUCCGAACUCGUUGAGUGGAGUCCGAGUUCACUUAUGGAUGCGAAUGUCCGAACUCGUUGAGUUGAGUCCGAUUUUGAGAGAUGUAACUAGGCAUCCGAGCUCGUUGAGUUGAGUCCAAGUUCACUUAUGGAUGAGAACGCCCGAGCUCGUUGAGUUGAGUCCGAGUUCAUUUAUGGGCGGGUUACAUGGUAGCUUGGCUACAUAUGUGGCACUUAUGUGCAAACUUUCCAUGUAUCCGAAUUAUAUUCCGAUGUGUUCAACGGGUAAAAUUCUACUCAAAUGGAGGAAUAAUCAAGAUGAAAGGGACGUAUUGGUAAGUGUUGUGAAAUGAAUACUUUGAACAUAUAUGUACUUAACCCUCGGGUUGAAAACUCGAUAUAACAACAAUAUGGUAAAAUGAUAAGUGAAAAUGUGAUAUGAAUGUCUCGGUGAUGAUUAUGCAAAUGAUGUUUUAUGUUUGCUUAUAUAGUUGUGUUACUUGCUAUUUGCAUGUGAGCUUACUAAGCAUUUAUGCUUACUUUCUCAUUUUCAUUCCUUGUAGUGUUGACAAGCCAGCUCGGAAAUCGGGAACGGUCGGAGGCAUGCUCACACUAUUUAUAUACCAUCUUGGCAUAAUGGCUUGCAUAUUUUGAGUAUGGCAUGUAUAGCAUUAUAAUCAUUUUGUAUAUAUGGUUUUAUGAUAUGGUUAUUGAGUGGUAUGGAAAUGCUUGGUAAUGAUUAGCCAUUCAUGAUCAUAUUUGGUGUUAUGUAUGCUAAAUUGCUAGCUAAUUCAUGGAAACCAUGAAAUAGGUAAAAUUUACCAUAAAAUAGAUUCAGACAGCAGCAGUGACGUGAGUUUGAAAAAUUAUUAAAAAUAGUAGACAUACAAUUAGAUGAUGAAUAAAUAUGGAAUUCAAUAAUUAUGAGUCUAUUUUCAUAUGGAUGGAACAAAAUAGGUAUAUGAGUUAUAUUUUAUGAAAUGUUUAAUUUUUUGUGAGACAGGGCCAGAGCGAUUUCUGGAUACCCUGUUCUGAAUUUGAAAAUUCACCAUAAACUGUUCAAAGAUAAUUAGAAGUCAUGAUUUAUAUGUACAGAUUCCUUAUUGAGUCUAGUUUUAUUAGAAAUAAACGGCAUAGUCAUUGAAGCUCUGUACAGGGAGAUAUCUGAUUUGUAAUACACAGAGGUUAGAGUAGUCGAACCCUGAAACAGGGGAGACUUUAACUAAUAAACUGUACUAAUUGGCCCGACCAAAAAUUAUAGAAAAAAAUUAAUAGAUAGAUAUAUGAGUCUAGUUUCAGUAAAAAUUUACAGAAUUGGAUUUUGAGUUUCGGAACUCGAGAUAUGAUUUUUAAAGAGACUGUGAUGCAGUUAGUCAGCUUGUCUAGAAAUUUUAAAAUGAAUUGUAUGAGCUGUUUAAGUAAUGAAUUAAGUCUGUUAACACCUCGUGUUCGACUCCGAAAACGGUCUCGGGUACGGGGUGUUACAAUGUGCAUGAGAAGUUUUAUAUUUAUGAUUGAUCAUACUUGAAAACUAAAUAUAAUCACGAUAAAGGCAAGCGCACCUAUCGAACAGUAGUAUAGCUUAUAGCAAGACCGAAAUGUCGAACCCACAAGAACUAAAAGUACUAGUAUUAACCUUCUUUUUAUUAUCUAGCCUUAAAAUAAAGGGAUUUGCUUUAUCUAAACUAAUUAACUAAACUAAGAAUGAACAGGAAGUAAAUUGGGGAAAUACUUUUGGGAAAACUAAUUGAUUUAGACAAUACCCAAGGAAGAAUCCACCUAGACUUCACUUGUUAUUUGACUCUAAACUAAACUAUUUAUUCACUUGACUCGAUCCAUAGAAAUCCCUAAUUUAUAUUAUUAUCUCUCUCAAGACUAACAACGUCUAACCCUAGGUUGAUUAAUUGAAAUCUCUUUCUAAUUAAAACCCCUAGUGUUGCAUUAUUUCACUUUAUAGAUUUCCUUAUUAGGUUUGACCCUAAUCCGGCAGAUUUAUGUCACCCUAUGUCUAAGGAUCCAAUCAACUCCGCUUAAUUAUGCUAGAUCUACUCUUAGACAGGGACUUUUGCUCCUCUGAAUAAGCACAUCAAUACUUGAAUCAAUAUCUUGGAAUAUUAAAGAAAGAAUUAAGAACACAUAAUUAAGAACAAAUCAAGUAUUUAUUAUAUAAUUCAGAAAAUAGUAACAAGAUCCUCUUAGGUUUCAUCCCCCUUAAGUAUUUAGGGGAUUUAGUUCAUAUGUGUAAAAGAAAACAUCUCUGAAGAAUAAUGAUAACAAAACAUAAAGAAAACCCAAAAACCCCUGAAGGAAAUUGAAGGGAGAUCUUCAGUCUUGAAGGAGAAUCCGGCUUCUGAGAUGGAUCGAUGGGCUUUCUUCGAGUAAUUCCUUGCCUCCUACUUCGUGUGUUCCUUUAGGUGCCUCAUCGGGUGUUUAUAUAGGCUUUAGAAUGCUUCAAAACCCUCAAAAGUGGUCUUUUCCGAGUAGAACUAGACUUGGGCUCGACAAGGACACAGCCGUGUGCCACGCCCGUGUGGGGUGGUUUAGGCCGGGUUAAAGUCUGCUAAAUAGAAACGGGCGUGUGGUGUGGCUUAGGCCGUGUUACAAUCUAUUAAAUAGACAUGGGCAUGUGGUCUACCCGUAUGAGGAAGUCCCGGCCGUUUUGAUUUCCCACAUUGACCCAUUUUCUACGGUUUUGGCCCGUUUCUCGCUCUUUUUACUCUUCUAUGCUCACCUAAGUAUAAAAAAUGAAAUUAAAGGAUUAGGAGCAUUAAAUUCCACAAAUCUAAUGACAAUUCAUCCAAAAAUGUGCUAAGCAUAGGAUAAAAAUAUGUAUAAAUUACAACUUAUCAUACGUAUUAUAAAAAUAGAUAUAACCUAGUAUGAGUUUUUUUUCGUAUUAAGUUUAUAUAAGUUUUUAUAGUUAAAGCUACAGACUAUUUGGAUUGUGAUUUCAGAUAUUAUAAUGUCGAUACUAAUUAUGAAAAUAGAAAAUGUUUUCUUACAUCCGUUCGUGAGGCAUGAUAUCAUUUGAGAGAAUGGUGCUAGACACAAGCAUAACAAACAGUUGGCGAACUCUUUUAUUUGAAGCAUUCAAGGCUUCAAAAUGUGGUUGAGAAGACAUUUGUUCUAAAAAAUUAUUUCUCAUAUUAACAACAUCACCUUUGUAUAACAUAAAAAAAAUUAGACCAUACUAGCAUGUUGCAUAUUUCAUAACUUCAAUCAUAGGUGGAAAUGAGAGAUCCAUACUUCAAAGAGUUCAUGGAAGAAGAAGAUCUUGAUAAUCUUAAUUAUGCAGAUUCAAAUUUAGAUAAUGAUGAGCUCAGUCAAAGACCAACAGAUGAUGAUAAGAAGAAUAUGCUAAAUAUUAAAGAGGAAAUAGAGAGGAAAUAACUUUAUAAAAUGAACAAGAAGAAUUAAAUAAAAUUGCACAUGGUUUAUUUUUCUAGUUUUUUUGUUAAUAAUCAUAUUAUCAACUACUUUUUCAGACUAACACAAUACAUAUGAUUAUUUGAUUUUAAUUUUUGUUACUUUUUUAUAAAUUAAUUUUAUCAUACUAAUAAAUUUUAUAGUAAUUAAUAUUUUUUAAAAAUGAAAUUUAUGUAACUCUAUAGUUAAAAUUUGUACUACCAAACAUUACAUAAAGAAUUACGAUGUAAUUACUCUCUGUCACCCAAACAUGUCUAGGAAAUUACAAUUCAUUGUAAAUACAAGAGAGUGUAAUUAUUAUCUUACUAAUUACAUUUUCAUUCAAUUAUUUUGCGAUGUCCAAACAAACUCUAAUUGUAUACAUAUUAAUAUCUAUUAAUAAUGUUGUUGAUUGAGUUGGUGUCACAAAUUAACUCAACAUCAACUUAAUAUUGACGAGAACACCAUGUUAAACAAUUGUAAUCAUUUAGUAUUCUUAGUACGAUGUAUUUAUAUGUUUAAAUUUCAUUUUACUUACAAUUUGAUCUAAUUUUUUGUUAAUAUGAUGUAUUUCUGUGUUUAACUUUUUUUUACUCAUGAUUUAAUCUAAUUUUUUAUUUUAAUAUAGUACAUAUUUCAUGUGCUAUUAUGAUUACUUAGUUUCAAACCAUAUGUUUCAUUGUUUAUUGUAUGUUAUUUUUAAACAAAUAUUUGUGUUCUAAUCCGUGGUUUCCAUACACAUACAUGUGUGAUAAAAUUUUUAGUAAGAACCUAUAAGGUUUGAGCGGAUUUUUUUUUUUAAGAAUUGAGCGAAUUGUUGAAUUUAUAUCAUUUUGUAAUAUUCUUUUAAACCAAAAAAGAAAGGGUAGACUACACUCAAGAUCACUAAACUACUAAUAAAUUUACGUUUUGAUGACUCAACUUCAAAAAGUUACAAAAUGGUUAUUAAACUAUUCAAAAAUUUUCAUGUCAUUGAAUUAUUUGAACCUUUUUAUUUAAACCAUUGAGUUGUUAAGGUUUUUUUCUAAAGUCUGACUAGCGAGCUCCAAGCAACAAUUCAAUGAUAGGAACAAUGGAUCAGUACCCUUACUUAGAUCCAAGUCGAUCUGACAAUCAAUAUCGAAGAUCGAAAAAGAAAUUUGAUUGGAUUAUGGUUCAUAGAUUUGUGAUGUUUAAAGUUUUUCAUGAAAAAAACUAAAUUGUAAAAAGGGAGGGGAAUGAAACCUUUUGAUCAGUGUAAGCAGUGCAAAUAGAGAAGGCCAUACAACAAAAUAUUAAUAAUCCAUUAACUUGAAUGAAAAUUUUUUGUAUAAUUCAAUGAUCAUCUUAUAACUUUCUGAAGCUGAGUGACCAAAAUAUAAAUCUAUUAAUAGUUUAGUGAUUUUAGUGUAGUUUACCUAGAAAAGGAAAAGAAAUGGCGGCAUAGCUUUGUUUUUCUUAACUUGUCUGCCGCUGCUAGAUGCCUACUCUUGAUAGGGCUAUUAGGAGUGAGGCGUGGCUCAAUUCAUUUCCAAAUUAUUUCGUGACCCACUUGCCUAGACUCAAGUCUAAUCACAAGCCUAUCUUUCUUUUGCUUCGAUCUGAGCUUUAUCCUUCUAGGGGUCGUCGUUUUCGUUUCUUGGCGGGAUGGAUUAAGCAUACAGAUUUUGAAGAAUAAUUGGAAUUUUGCUGGUUUUAUGUCUAGCUCACUUUCUAAUUUCACAAGCCAACUUAAGAAGUAGAAUAAAGAGGUAUACAGCCAUGUUGGGCUACGAAAAAGAGUCUGAUUCAGAAACUUCAUUUGAUUUAGAGUAGGUUGAAUUAUUCUCAGUCUGACCAUUUAUUUUAGUUGGAAUUAUAGACUAGAGAGGAAUUGGAAAAUGUACUGUAUCAUGAGGAGCUUAUUUGGAAACAAAAGGCGAGGUGGGAUUGGAUUUCUCUGAGAGAUUGUAAUACUAAAUUCCUUUAUAGGUGCACCCUUAAAAGGAGAAAGUAUAAUCAGAUUACGGCUUUAAAAAUGAGGAAGGAGAGUGGAUUUUUUAUGAUGGGGAUCUACGUCAAGAGGCGUCAUGUUUUUUCAAAAAUUUAUAUGGAGAAGACUCGGGGCCGAUCAGAAGUCUUCCUACUAGUUCUUUUCUGAAGCUUGAAGAUGAUGAGAUCCAAAUGUUAAGCAAACCAGUUUCAACUGAGGAAAUAAAAUCUGCCCUGUUUGAUAUAGUCCUCUAAAGGUGCCGGGGAGUGAUGGAUUACAUGCCCUCUUCUUUUAGAGUUAGCGGGAGCAGAUUGGGGAUUUUGUUUGUACCUAGGUCAAGAAUUUUUUUUUAUGGUUAAACGAUCAAUCCAGAGCUAAAUAAUACUCUUUUAGUCCACAUUCAAAAUCCCAAAUCCAGAAUGUUUUCCCAAUUUUUAUCAAUCAGCCUUUGUUCAGUUCUUUACAAGUUGGUAAUGGAAAUUAUUAUCAAUAGUUUCAAGCUAGUAUUUUCAAUAAUUAUUGGUCAAGAAUAGACUGGGUUUAUUGAGUAAAGGAGUACUAUGGAUAAUAUUGUAACACCCCUAACCCUUGUCUGAUGUCGAAACAAGUUACGAAGCAUUACCGGACUUAUAAAUCAAACAAUCAUACGUUUCAUGACCAAUUCUCUAACAAAUUAAAAUCCAUUCAUAAACAUUCAUAUAGUCCCUAAUACGAGCCCUGAUGUCGAAACAAGUUACGAAGCAUUACCGGACUUAUAAAUCAAACAAUCAUACGUUUCAUGACCAAUUCUCUAACAAAUUAAAAUCCAUUCAUAAACAUUCAUAUAGUCCUUAAUACGAGCCCUCGAGGCCCCAAAUAGACAUUAAAAAUAGUUCGAGACUAGACCGAGUACUCAAGAAAUUUUUAGAAAAACAUUGAAAUUUUUCAAAGUGCAAGGGACACACGCCCAUGUGGCCAAGCCAUGUGUCUCACACGACCAAGAGACACGCCCAUGUCUCAGGCCAUGUGGGCAUUCGAAAUAGGGACACACGGUCGUGUCCCAGCCGUGUCCGACCCCAUGUAACUCAAUGAGUUGGGUCAUACGACCAACCCACACACCCGUGUGCCAGGCCGUGUGCUAGGCCUUGUGAAGUUACUGACUUGAUUUUUAAAGAAGUUGUGUCACUAGAACGAUAGAAAUGUGCAAGUGUACACAAUCGCAACAAGUAAUAAAGUGACAAGUAAAUGUCGAGUUAUCAUACCCAUAGGGACUGUGAAAAAAUUUAUUUAUGAAAUUAAUUUAAAAACACUUUGGUGAAGGAAAAUAUUUUGAUUUGAGGAGGUGAUUAAAAACUAGGAUUUUAGCUAAGUAAAAUAAAUAAAAAUGAAAUAAAAGUUUCAAUGCACUAUUUCAAAAGAUGAUUAAUUUUAAUCUAAAUGACUUAAUUAUGCUAGAUUAAUUGCAUUUCUUAACUUAGAAUUAUUAAACUCAUGUUCAUGUUGUUACGAAUAAAUUCACGGCAACUCGGUAAUUUUCUAACCUAUGAACAUACUUACCUACCAAAAUUCAUUUAUCUCUUAACUAUAUCUCUAUGUCAAUUCAACCGAUUAAACAAAUUCUAAUAAGCAAAUGUGUUAAUGUACAUACAUACUUAUGAACUUAAAAUAAUCUCUUAUACAUAUCUCUAUGCCAAUUCAAAAAAUUAAUUCAAUCUCAUAAGCACAUAAAAGAUUACGUGACGUAACAAUGUAUUUCUACCUUGAAACAGUUUAAUCACAAUAAUCUUGCAAGUUAUGCAAAGCUAAUGUAUGCCUAGAUACCGUUGUUAAUUUAACCCUCAGCUACCUUAGAUGAUUAAACAUGCAAUGAUUAAGUAUCGUGUCAAUUAAUUACAAUUUCAAUUUUUUUAAAUAAUUAAUUCAUUAGUUUCCUUACAAUAGUAAUGCAAGAAUAACUUAGUCAUGGUUUUACUUAAUCAAACAUCUUACUGAGGCCUAUAACAACACAAACAUAAUUUUAAUAAAUUAAAUAGACAAAAUGCAAUCAACCUAACACGAAUUAAAUUUAAGCCUAUUAAUUAAGUUGAACAUAUCGAAAUCACAAAUAUUCAUAGACAUGUUCAUUAUAACAACAAAAAAAUUAAAAGGAUAGGGAACAAGAAUCAAAUCAAGUGUUUUCUCCGUGGCUUGACUAGUUUGCUCCACUCCUCCUUCUCCACUUGUUCUUGUCGAACCGAGGCUUCUACGAACACUUGAAUGCUACUCCAAAUGUUGGUUGAUUGAAUCUUUUUCAAGAGGUGAAAUCAGCAAGGGAAUAGGGGAAGAGAGUGAAAAAAAUAGAAGGGAAUGAAGAGAGAAAAAUGAGAGAGAAGUGAAGAGAUGAGAAGGGUUGAGAUGUUGUGCUUGAAGUGAGCAGCAAAUGGGGUAUUUAUAGGUUGAGAUGGCUGCUAAAAUUAGCAAAAAUCAGCAGCCAUAGAGUCCCCCCAUGGCCGGCCACACAUGUGGCAAGUUUGAAGAAUUCAAACUUGCUAUUUUAAGGUAGGGGCAAAUCUAGAAAGGCACAAAUAGUGAAGCGGUUUGAAUGCAAUUUGAAGGAGUCUUCAAGGGCCAUUUUGCAAGUUAAAUAAUCAGCCAAGCAAGCUGAUUGGGUCAGCAUGUCGAACGAUUUUGGGCUGCCCAGUGCUAGGUUGGAUCUGUUUUCUCAGUUCAUAUAACGCCCCUCACCCAUAUUCAACACAAAAAUAGGGUUACAGAGCAUUACCUGUAACACCCCACACCCAAGUCCUACAUCGGGAUGGGACACGAGACGUUACCACACUUAAACACAUGCAUUCCAACGUUUUUGAAUCAUCAAGACUUAAUCAAAUUUAAAACUUUAACUAAACUCCUUAACAAAGGCCUACAAGGCCUUAAACGUCCAUUGGGAAUCACUCGAGACCGUCUCGGGUUCUUGACCGACUGAAAAAAAUUUACCCUUGAAAUAGGGAACACGCCCGUGUGUUCAUUUUGACACGGUCGUGUUGAUGGCCCGUGUGACACACAUGGCCUAAGCCUCUAGGGACACGCUUGUGUCCCACGCCCGUGUGAAUUAAAUUCUAAAUUCUAACCUAUAAGGGUUUUCACACGGCCUGACACAUGCCCGUGUUUAUAGCCCGUGUCUCUCACACGGCCAUGACACGCCCAUGUCCUAGCCCAUGUCUAAAAACCUUGACAUUCUGUUUCUGACGUCAGCAUCCAAUAAGGGGCACAUGGCCAAGGCACAUGCCCGUGGCCAAAGGCCGUGUGCUCCACACGGCUGAGACACAUAGCCGUGUCUCUACCCGUAUGUUUACUACCAUGCAUUCUGACUUGAAAUUUUUACGUGCAGAGGACAUACGGCAGGACAACACGCCCGUGUGUCUACCCGUGUGAACAAAAUAAGGCUAUUUACCAAGCCUCUUUGCCACCCUUACUAACACUAACCUACACAAGAUCAACCAAACCAAUACAAGCAUAAUAUAUAUAACGAAUUCAACCACAACCGUUUGAAAUUUUCAUCAAAUGCAUGUAAUAAUAGUAAUUAAUAUUAGCCAACACAUGUGGCCAAUCGAACAAGACAUAAACUAAAGAUUCGAGUCACUAUACAUGCCAAAAAUCAAAAUAUUUGAACUAGCUAUACCAAAAGCUUCAAGUGAUAGUGUGAUCACUGUCUCCGACGUCUCUUGAUCCCCAAUACUAGCUUGACAGCACUAUAAGAAAAUGGAAAAGAAGGGGGUAAGCAUAAAGCUUAGUAAGCUCACAUACAAAUAAUAAACAACAUAACUCAUAAAUUAAAAUAAGGAAAAGUUUCAUAAGCUUAACUUUCUCAUACACACUCUUACCACAAGUAUUUAACAUAUCAAAUUCUCUACUCAAAAGUUUUACGUACAUACCUGUACCAAACUCGUAAUACAAUUGCAUAAUUCCCAAUGUUAACUUAGUCACCGAAUAACUACUAACUUACUCGUUGAACACUAGGAAUAUUAUUGGAUACUCGGAAAUCUUACACAUAACGCGUUAUAUGUAGCCACAUGCUACCUUAUUUAAUACACCACAUGUUGCUCGUUCUCGAACUAAUCACAAGCCUGUUCACACAAGCUGACAGUCGAGACGUAACUACACGAGCUGCUCACACAAGCUGACAGGUACCCGCAACACAUGCCAGGUUACCCAGCCACCGGUAGAACGUACAUGACUAGCGCCCGGAUUUAUAAAAUCACACAUCACAUAUACAAAUGAGCUCAUAACCACAUAGUUCCUAGUGACAUGUCACUUUGUAUCCUAAUUUUAUUCCUAAAGUUCAAACGAGAUUUUUCUUGUAGACUUACCUUCAACAAAUUUGGUCAUAUAAGCAGUUACAUAUUUUCAUGAUAAAAGGGUUACCACAAAAUCCCGCAUAAUAAUAAAAAGAGUAAUGUAACUUACCUUCAAGUGUAGAAAUUACAAUUCAUGCAUCAAUUAAGCAUUUAUACAUGAUUCACAUUGUAUUAUUUACAUGUGCACUUACAUCGGUACAAAAUUUGUAGAAACGAGUCUAGUCUUCGUACACAUUAUUUUUCCCCCGGUCAAGGUCCGUUCCUCUUUUUCUUAAUCUAAAAGGAUAAAAAUUCACUAGAUAAGUCCACAUAAUCAAAAAUUCACAUUCUUGGAAAAUUGACCAUUUUUCCCCCCAAACUUUUACAAAAUGACCAUUUUACCCCUAGGUCCAAAAUUCUAUUUUUAUCGAAUUUCCUUCUUAACCAAGCCUAACCUACCAUUUAUCUCUCUUAUGACAACCCUAAAUUUCAAAUAUUUCACAACAUUACUAUCUAUUUUAUAAACUUUGCAAAAUGGUCCUAUUAGGGUUUUCAUGAGAAAUCCUUUCACCAAAGUUGUUCAUUUCACCACUAUGAUUCAUUUCCUUCCAUAAAAUUCCAGAAAACAACAUAAAUUCUCUCAUGGUAAAAUUCUAGACUUUCAACCAUUUUGCAAAAUAGUCCCCUCAUUUGAAAGCUCAUGUUACAAGGGUUCUAAAAAUGCAAAAAUCAUCAAGAAAGACCAUCAAAAUCACUUACUUGUGAGGGCUACAAGUUGCUGAAAUUUCAAGCUUCCAAAAACCCCAUUUUUGCUGAAAAAUUUUGGUAGAGAAUAAGGGAAAAAUGAAAAAGAUUAUGGCUAGACACUAGGGUAAUAUUUUACUAUGUAAUAAGUCACCUAACCAUUGACCAUGCUAAUUUCUUGUCCCCUGUGGCCGGCCAUCAGCUACUAAAGGGUCUAUUACCCUCAAUUUUGGUUCUCUAGCUAUUAACACUUUUAACUAUCAAAAUAGGACUUUGUACUUUAUGCGAUUUAGUCUUUUUUCGCAAUUAAGGUCACAAUCGCUAAAAUUAGCUCAUCCAAAUUUUCAUACACUUAUAUAAUUAUACUAUAACACAUAAAAUAAUAUUAAAAAUAAUUCUUUGACCCCGAAUUAGUGGUUCUGAAAUCAUUGUUCCGAUCAACCCCAAAAUCAAAAAAUGUUUAAAAUAUAAAAAAUUACAAAAGUGAAAAAAAUUAUAGAAAAUUAAAAAAUAUAUUAUUAAAAGUUAUUCAAAAAUUAAUAUAAAAAAUUAAAAAAAUAUAAAAUAGAGAAAAAAAAUGUUUACAAUUUUAUAUACAAAUAGUCUCUAUUGUCAUUUGCCUUCUCAACCCAUUUCCCCACCUUAGUUUACAUCUCAAAUCACAUUCUUGUCAUCAACGAUGGACAAAGGGGCAUAAAGUUUGGAGAGGUUUGUGAUGGACGAACAUAGCAUAUAGUUUUAGGGAUCAAAAAAUAUUUCAUAAUUUUUAAUAGAUAUUGUAUUGUUAACCAUAGUUAGUGUGUUAAUGGAAAACCGUUAAUUUUUUAUAUUAUUAAUAUAUUUUACAAUUUUAUUUUUCUUAUAAUAUUUUAAAAAAUUAUUUAUAUUUCUAAUAAAUUUCUAUAUUUUAAAACAAAUCAUAAUUUUUACAAUUUUUCUAUAUUUUCAUAAUUUAUAUUUUUUAUAAUUUAUAUUUUUAAUAUAUUUAAAUUUAAAUUUUAUAAUUUAUAAUAAUUUUUAUAAUUUUCUAUAUUUUAUAAUUUUUUUAAUUUGUAGAGUCCUCUUGUGAAGUGCUUCUGAUACGUGGCAAUUGUGAAUGCAAGAAGUUUCCUACAUGUGAGUCCGUCUGGUGUUUGCAGCCGGGGGAGAAGACGAUAGGAACCAAUGAAUAACGUCUGUCCUGGUUUAUCCCAUGUGCCUAAUUAUUUUUCGCUCAAAACUGUUCUUUCAGAUUAAACUAAAUAAUCAGAUUGAUUUGUAAGAUAUGCAUUUGCUGCCAUUUUAAGCUUUUCUGUACUUUCAUUGGAACAUUGUCUAACCAAACAACUCCUUUUUUCCCUGUAAUGGUUCAUACGCUAUAUAUGAUCGUUUCAGUUUUGUUACUUUGACAAUGUUUAACCUGCACAAACGAUCUUGAGAUUCAUUAGCAUUGGUAUUAGUAAAAUAAAUUGUGAUUUUAUUAUAUAAUCGAAAAAUAAAAGACAGAAAAUGGGUAAAUGAAGGGGAAAAAACAAGAAUAGUGGAAAUUACAGAGGAAAAAAAAAAACUAGAGUUUCCGCCUCUCAGUACACCAGCCAAAGAAUUACAACGCAAAAUGUGGAAUGUGAUCAAAACCAAUCUAGAAGCUCAAAGCAAUGGCUGCCCAUCCCAACGCCAACCCUCCAAUUAUCUUCUUCAUGUUCUUCAUUGCCUCUGCUCCACUCUGCAUUUGUUUACAAUAACUCUUUAAAUUUUACAGAUAAAUAUAGUUUUAAGAUGAAAAAAAAAAGAUCCGUUGGUCUGUCCUUUUUCAGAAAAUUAAAUGAACUAGCUCAACGGUGCAUCCUUUAGACGCGAUUAAACGAAAAACAAGAUCUCUCUACAUUUAUGCAGUGUAAAAGUUCAGAUCUGAAAGCGCAUUGUUAUAUGAUGUAAGCUACUGAAACGUUAGUAAAGAGAAGAGAAUGUACCUCGUCGGCAGCGACAGAUGGACCGGGAGAGGAAGCAUCGAGGCUCGGUCCAGGAGCUCCAGUUGGUGGAGCGGGAGGUCCAAGCAUAUCAGGUGAAGGAGCCGGAGCAUGGUGUUUCUUGGAUUUCUUGCUUUUGCUCUUGCUCUUGCUUGGAGCUGGGGCCGGAACCUCAGCAGUAGUUGGUGCCGCAACAGGAGCCAGAGGAGAGGCCGAGCUCUCUGGUGGAGUCGUCGGUGCAGCAACGGGAGGCGAUCUGGCUGGAGGAGAGCUCACAGGUACUGGAGCCGGUGGAGAACUCACCGGAGCAGCAGCCGGAGGAGAAGACGGAGCAGAUUUAGAUGGGGCUGGAACCGCCGCAGACUUCUCCGGAGCCGCAACCGGUGGUGAAGAAGUUGGUGGGGAAGUGGUAGGGGCAGCAGUUGGAGCCGGUGAUUUAGGUUUGCUAACAGGGGCAGUAGCGGGAGCAGUAGCAGGAGUAGUCGCGGCCGGCGGAGCUUUAGUAGGUGAGGCUGCCGGAGAUUGACCACCAACAGCGGUCACCACAAAACAAAUCAAAACAACUGCAAAUGCACUUCUACGAUCCAUUUCUUGAAGACAGAGGGAGAGUGAAGUAGUAACAGAAACUAAUGACAAGGAGACAACAGACUCUCAAUAAAUAUAUAAAUAAAUGAGGGAGAGAAAAUCAGAAAAAAUGAUGAUUAUAAAAAGAAAAGAAGAAAAAGUUAGGAACGUGUUUGGAUCAGAAAUAGCCGUUGGAUGAGAAGCUAUUGCGGGGCCCACCGGCAUCAAACUAUCAAACAAAGACACAUUGUAAUGUGGCGAUCAAGACUCGACACAGUCUGGAUUGGGGGCCCACACACGUGGACCAUGUAAUUUGCUGUUACAUUACCUGAUUAAGAUAAACUACACCCAAGGUCAUUAAACUAUUAAUAAAUUUACAUUUCAGUAUUUAACUUUAAAAAGUUACAAAAUAAUUAUUAAAUCAUUCAGAAGUUUUUAUUUAAUUCAUUGGGCUAUUAAAUCGCUGUUGUAUGACUUUUUUUAUUCACACGGUCUGCACCAAUCAAAGGAUCUCAUUCUCAUUCUCUUCAACAAUUUAAUUAUUUUCAUGAAAUAACUUUGAAUAUUAUGAAUUUACGAAUCAAAAUCCAAACAGUUUUCUUCUCCGAUCUCUUACAUUGACCUAGAUCUGAGGUAUGUUCUUCUCCUCGCCUAUAGGUACUAAUCUAUUGUACCAAUCGUCGAAUCAUCACUUGGAGCUCACUAACCGAACUUUAGAAAAAAAUACUUAACAAUCCAAUGACUUAAAUAAAUACUUUUGAAUAAUUCAGUGACCAUGUUGUAACUUUUCAAAGUUAAGUCACCUUAGGUGUAGUUUAUCCUACUUAAUAUUGUAAUAAAUGUUUAAUUCUAUCCCCAACCCCUAUACUCUUUGGGGUUUUGAAAUUUAGCCUUCCUACUUUUGAUUUUAAAAUUUUAGUUUCUCUUUGUUUUUAUUUAAAAGUUAAAUUCCAAUUCAUGAAAACUUGGUUAAAUUUGAAUAUAGAUCAUUUUAAUAUUCGAAGAAUUGAUCUAAAAAUAAUAAUAUAUAUUUAAAUUGAAUGGAAAUGUUAUUAAUUAAAUUUUAAUUUUUAAAUUAAGCAGGAGAGAUAUGGAAUUAAAAGGUGAUAGAUUAAAAUUUAAAAGCUGAAAGAGUACAGGGGUUGAAAAAAAUUAAACCUACAAUAACUAAUUGAAUGAAGUAGUGAGACAGCUGGAGGUAGGGAUAGUGGGGUAUUGCUGGGCAAAGAGACAAACCAAUAGGAGGCGGCCACGUAACUGGGUAAAGCUGUUACCGGUGAUAUUUUGAGAUGGGUCAUCGACUCACCGGCAAGAAACUGUAUCUCUGCAAGCAAAACUUGUCUGGAAUAACGUGACGUGUAUUAUACUUAAACACCCUAACCUUUUCUCUUUUCGUUAAAAAUUGUAAAGUGGCUAAGGCCCUUUUUUGUGUUUUUUUUAUCAUCUAUAUAUUAGAGUUUUAAAAGAAGUUUUGCAAAAUAGUUGUGUAAUUAUUUCACCUACACCCUUUGGCCUCUCUCGGUAUAUUAUUGAGAGAGUAUUUAAUUGAAUCGAAUAAAAAAAUUGAGUUAAUCGAGUUAACGAGUCUUAUUUUAUCAUUCUAAUUCAAUUUGAAUUUUUUUCAAAUUGAAUUGAGUAAAAUGAAAUUCUAGUCGAUUCGAAUGAAAUUAGUUGAGUUAAAUUAAAAUCUUGUUAUACUAUAAUUAAAUCCAUAUUAUAGCAUAUAAUUUUGAAACCAUAUAUAUUUGAAAAAAAUUUCAAAAUAAAAAUAAAAAAAAAUUUACUUUAGUAUGAUAAACUUGAAUCAUUAAUUAACUUAUUUAGGUCCCAACAUUAUUAUUUUAGAAAAUUUUUAAUUUUUUAAAUUUCUUUAUAUCUUUUUUUAGAAUUUUUUUUGAAAUUUUUAUAAUUUUUAAAAAAUAUAAAUUUGGAAUUUUUAUAAAUAUUUUGAAAUUUUAAAUUUAUUUUGAAUUAUUUUAUAUUUUUUAUUGAGAGAGAGGUCAAGUUGCUCAUUUUCAAACUUGGCAGAGGCCAAAAAAGUAUUUAUACCAAUAUGUUAUUCGAAUUAUUCGAGUUAUUUGAAUUGUAAAAUUUAACUCGAUUCGAACUCAAAACUCGAAUUACUUAUUCAAGUUUACUUGAAUAAUUUGAAUGACUCGAUUCAAUUAGCUUAAAAUUUGAUUUUUUUUUAAUCGAAUCGAAUUUUGCUCACCCCUACUGUUUUGCACAGCAUCACAAUAUAGAUUUUUCGGUUUUAGAAUAUCGCCGAUCCAUAUUCUUCUUCAAUGCUGUCGAGCUCGACCCUUCCACAAUCAUUAUCUGUACAUCAUCAUCAUACAUUAUAUGAAUAGUAGAAUAUAUUAUUGAAUUGUCAUAUAUAAUAAAUUCAUAUCUCUACAAUUUAAUCGAAGCUUCGAUUUUUAAUUGAUUUUACACUUCAUCUUCACUAAUAUGAUAUCUUUUAAGAACAUCAUAUUAAUCAGACUCAAAUAUUACAUUGAUAUCUAUAUCAUGAAUUUGACCAUUAUAGUUCACCACAACAAAGAACAUAAUGCUGAUUUUAUAUAAAAUUUCUAUAUAUAGUAUUAAUUUAAAUUAAAAAAUUUAUCAAUAUAUAACUAAUAAAACAAUAAUAUCAUUCUGCCUAAUAUAAUAUAUGAGUAUAACAUAAACAUAUUUCAUAAAUAAAAAAAACUAUGCUUAAUGUGAUGCAUUGGAUUUAUAAUAUUAAAUAAAUUAAACUUUAUUAAAUUAUUUCUAUUUUUAAUAUUUUUAAGAAUAAUAUUGAGGGGAAAUUAAAAUAGAUUCUCAAAUAUGAAAUAAAAUAUAGGAUUUAUUUUCUAAAUAUAAGGACGCAAAUUUCAUAAAUAAAUAAUAUUAUAUAAAUCAUACAAAUCCUAUUUCAAAUAAUUUUUUUUAGUUUCAUCAGUCAUUUGUUUUUAAGAUCAACAAAUUCAACCGCGUUUGUAAAAUAUAUUUUUGUAAAAAGUUAGCUUAAUAAUCAAUUUUUUGUUAUAAAAUAAAGAGAGAUGGAGAGAAUAAAUAACAAAUAAAAUAUGAAAGCAAUAGAGAAUGUAUUUUAUUAAUCAAAAUAGAUGAUUACAAUGUUUAUUUAGAGUCUCUAUUUAUAUGUAUAAGAAGUAUAAAAGAAUUAGAGAUCUAAUUCUAACUAUUAUAAUUUAAAGUACCUUGAAACUUUAUCUUCAUCAUGAUGGACAUCCAUUUAAUAAGAUAUUCAUAACACUCCCCCUUAGAUGUCCAUUGAUAGAAGAUAAUAUGCCUCAUUAAAACCUUAUUAGGAAAAACCCUGUGGAAUAAAAACCCAAUGAAGGAAAAAUAGUACACAAUCUAUAAUACGCAUAAUCUGUUGCCUCAUUAAAAACUUUACCAGGAAAACCCAAUAGGACAAAAUCUCGGUUAAGGGAAAAAUAGUGCAACACGUAUUUACUCCCCUCAUGAAAACUAUAACAACCCGUUUUUAGUGAAAUCAAAUUAGUGGUUUUGGGACCACAAAUCUGAGUUAAAAAGAAAAUUUAUUUUAAUAUUAUUGCAUGGUCCGCAUUAUGAUAGGAAUGCUAUAUGAAAAUUCUGAUAAAUUUUUUUUAUAGAUUAUGUGUUUAAUUAGAGAAAGGACCGAAUUGCAUAAAAUGUAAAAGUUGAGAUAUAGUAGCUAAAAGGAUCAAAUAGCUAUGGAUUUCAAAAUAAGAGGUCCUUAUAUGGCAAUUAGACCAUUAAAUAAAAGUUAGUAGAUAUUUUUGGUGAUUCAUCCAUGAAAAAUUAGAAAAAGAAAAUGAUGAAAUUGGAAAGUUUGAAAAAUUAAAGAUGAUAAAUAAAAUAAAUAUCAAAUAACAUCAUUUUAUAUCAUCUUCUUCCCCAAAAUUUAUAUGGAAACCCUAGGAGAGAAAAAGGAAACUAAUCAAGCUUAAUUAGGUAUGAAUUCUUGUCCCCUUUUUAGUAAUUUUUAUAUUCUUGUGAUCGAAAUAGUUUUUAGUAACAAGCGUUAAAAGUCUACUAUCUAUUUUGGGGAUUAAUUUGUAAAGUUAUCAAAGUAUCAAAGUUUUUCCAUGGAUGAAUAUGCUGAAAUUUUGAAAUUUAUGGUAGAAAAUGAAAGGUUGUUGAUAGAUAAACAACUUUUACAAAGAGAAUUUUGAUGAAAUUAUGAUUUAUGGACUAAAUUGUAAAGAUGUAAAAGUUAUGGAAAAAUUCUAAAUUUUGUGAAAUAUAUGUGCUGUAAAUGUUAUAUGAAAUUUUCGGUUAGGCUUGGAAUAAGGAUUAAUUGCCUGAAUUUCAUUUUCCGAGCCUAAGGACGAAAUUAGAAUUAAUAAAAAGUAUAGAGGUAAAAUGAUAAUUUUUCCUAGGAUAUGAAUUGAAUGUAAAUGAGUAUGAAAUGGAUUAAAUUGAUGUUAAAUUUAUUUAUAUAGAUCCAGAUAACUCAAAUUUGAAGCUAUAUCGAGGAAAAUAAAAGGUGACAGAUUAGUAGACUUUUAAAUACGAACAAGUGUCGAGGUAAGUUCGUGUAACUUAAUUAUGUAUAUUUAUAUGUUUGAAUUGCAUGUUGUACUUAUGAGAAUUCUAUAAAUGAUUAAUGUAUGAAAAUAGUCACAUGCCCAAAAUUUUUCGAUAAAUAAUAAAUUUCGUUUGAAUAAUGAAAUGCGAUGGAUACAGUAUUUUCCCGUGCUGAUUAUAGUCCUGAAUAUGUUGCAGACAUUAUAGCUCAGAAGAGCAACCUGUUAGUAGUAAUGCUUAAAAUGAGGAAUAAAGCUUAACCGAGUUCCCGCUACACUAACCCGAUCAAGAUUGGGGAUCACCUGAAAUCUAAUCCAAACAAAAUGAGUUGUGAACUCAAUGCAUAAAAGAAGGUUAAGUUUAUUCAAUUAGUGUUCAUUUAUAAAGUAGUUUCAAAAUCAGAAAUUCGGUUCGGUACAAAACUAUUUACAGUUCAGUUUCAAAACAGAUCAGUUAUAUACAUAUAUUUAUAUAUCUAAAAAUUCAUAUAUAUAUAUAUAUAUAUUGUAGAUCAGAUUUAGAUACAGAUAUUCCUAAACCCCACCUGCUACACACCAUCUCUGACCAUUUCAACACACCGUUAAGGACAUUCAAUGCCCAUCCAACCAUAUACACCACAAGUGUCUGUUUGACACGUUUACAAUAACACAACUUAGCUGCUGGAUCAUAAUGUGUCAAGUGCCAAAAUUGAAACUAUUCACAUAGUGGCCUAACCACUGAUUCAAAGUAGAUUACUUCCUUCUUCAUAACAUCCCAACCCAUGCAAAUGCAGAGUACAAUUACCCACAAUGCACUUACAAUUAUAAUAUUCAUACAUCCAUUACAGAGUAUCAGAGAGUUCUCAUUCAACCAAAUUCAGAUCAUUCAUACAAUGGGAAAAUCAUUAUCAGUCAUAAACAACAUUUACAGCCUCAAAAACGGGUUACGAACCCCUUUUAUAAUGCCACACGGUCAUGUCCUUGCCCAUGUGGCUCACACGACCUGGUCACACGCCCAUACCCUUUGCUCAUGUAGUUCUAACAUGUAAACAGAGAGUUACAUGGCUUGGACACAUAGCCGUGUCCUUGUCUGUGUGAUUCACACGGCAUGGGCACACGCCCGUGUGCUUACCCACGUAGUCCUAAGUCACAAACAGUGAGUUACACGGCUUGGACACACAGCCGUGUCCUUACCCGUGUGACUCACACGGCCUGGGCACACGCCUGUGUGCUUACCCAUGUAGUCCUAAGUCACAAAGAGUGAGUUACAUGGCCUGGACACAUGCCCAUGUCUCAUGCCCGUAUGAACCUUACACUACCAUGGCCACACAUUGACACAUGCCCGUGUGCCUUUCCUGUAUAGUUCCAAAUUGAUGAACAGUGAGUUACACAACCACCCACAAGGCCUAGACACAUGCCCGUGUGCCUGGCCGUGUGACGUCGAAAGCCAGCAUUUCCGGCUACUGAAACUUGCAAAAUUAAGGUCUCUGGUACGCACCUAUUUUUGUGUUGAUUAAGAGACAAUACGGAGAUUACUCGGAACCUAAUUAACUAUUCAGCAAUCAAUCAUUUGACUAAAUCGACUAAUUAACACAACAUUAAUACACAAUCAACUAUGUCGAAUAAUUCGACAGGAGGAAACUUCAACUACUAACGCUUACAAACAAUUCAACCGUGUUAAGUUGGCACAACACGCAAAGGGUUGCUUCUCUCUACACUCACUGUAACACCCCUAACCCGUAUCCAUCGUUGGACUAGGGUUACGGGGCAUUACCGAAAAUAUUGGAACAUUUCGUAAUCACUUUACAAUCAAAGUCAAACAUAAGCAUAAAGUCCCUACUUAGGUCAAUGAGACCAUAAACAAGCAUUAAAAAGAGGUCGGGACUAAACUAAACACACUCGUAAAUUUCAGAACUUAGAAAUUUUUUUCAAUUCUAUUGAGGUCACACGCUCGUAUGACCAGGCCGUGUGCCUUACAUGGGCACCAGACACACCCAUGUAAUCCAGUCGUGCCAAAACAGAGCAUGCACACUGACUUUUCCCCACGGCCAAUAAACACGCCCGUGUGCUAUGGCCGUGUGAUACUUAGCUAGCUACUAACUUUAGCCUACGGCCAUAUGACACGCCCGUGUGUCAAGGCCGUGUAAUUUUUAAGAGAAUACUGUUUUUCUUAUGUCCCCUGACCGUGUAGCACAAUGAAGGCUUGGUUUAAGCCAACUUGCCACCCAUUAUGAUUCAACCUACAACAAGGAAACAAACAUAUAUAUGUACAACCCAAUCAACCAUUCUUUAAGCUAAAACAUACAUCAUUCAUGCCAUAGUUGCAAAUUAACAUCACAUAUCAUAAGCCAUUAUCAAAUAUGAGUUCAAACACAAAUUAGCCAAAUCUCAUGGCUAACUAUAUACAUCACAAAACAUAAUUCACAACUACUAGCCUAUACAUGCCAUACUUCAAAUAUUUACAUUUUCAAUAGUACCAAAAUGAGAUCGAUAGUGUGGUGACGAUCCUAAACUAUCCCCGAGCCUUCAGUAGCUACGAUAUUUGUAAAACAGAUAGUAAACACACAGAGUAAGCUUUCAAAAGCUUAGUAAGCUCGUACUAAAAACAUUCAUAGUAUAUGAACAUAAAAUGAUAACCUAUGAGUAUUUGUACAAUUUCAAUCCAUAUAACUAUAUCAACUCAAUGAGAUUCAUAUACAUAACAUCAUCUACCACUUAGGCAUUAUACAUACCUGAAGCUUCCCAUACUUAUUCACUUUUGUACUUACCUCAUGUUGAAUGUUAUGAGACUUUCCAUAAGUUAUUCAUAUUUUAUACAUCAGCACACUUAGUGCUAUAAGGUUAGUUGAAGCUAAAUAUUUCCGCACACUUAGUGCCAUCUCAAAUAAUCGAGACUAAGUUGGUAUCGCACACUAAGUGCCUCAAGUAGCCGAAGCUAGUUAAAUCGCACACUUAGUGCCAAAGCUAGUUUAAAUAGCACACUUAGUUCCAAAACUUCCGUUUCAUCACCAUAUUAUCCAAUUCAAUUAUAUACAACCUAUGUAUAAUAAAGACAUCAAAACUUACUUAACAUCAUAUUUUAAGUACGAACUUACCUCGUACUCGGAAUUUGUCGACUCGGACUAUCUACUUGAUAACCUUUGACUUUCCUCGAUCUAAGUCCGAAUUCCUCUUUUCUUGAUCUAUAGGUUUUCAAAAUUAACCCUUUUAUUCACCAAUUAAUUCAAUUCAAUCUAUAAACACAUAUUUAGGGCAAUUUGCAAAAUAGCCCUUGCAUUUUCACAUUUCGACACUUUAGUCCCUAUUUCACAAAAUCACAAAAUACACAUAAUUUGUAUAUACUUAUGCUUGGUCGAAUUCUACUAGUACUCAUACUAGUCCACACAUUUCAUUUAUUUCACAUUUUAGUCCCUCAAAAUAACAUUUUCACAAAUUAGCCCAAAUUUGCUCAAAUCCAACUAAAAUCCAAAGACAAAACAUGUAAACUCAACAUCAAGCUUUCAUAUUUCACCAUUUAACAACGCAAAACUCAUGAAUUCAUCCAUGACACAUUUUUAAAUCAUCACAAAAUUAGAAAUUGAGGCAUGGGCUUUAUAGUACACUUAGCAACGAUCACAAAAAUGUAGAAAUUAUCAAAAAUCGAAGCAAAAACAUACCUCAAUCAAGGAAUACAAUGGCCGAAUCCUAGGUGUUCUUUUUCUUUUAUUUUCUUUGUAUUUUCGGUUAAGAAUGGACAUAAAAUGAUCCAUUUACAUGCAUUUGUUUUAUUAUUAUUAACAUAAAAUCUAAAUGACCAUUUUCCCUUUUAUUCAACCAUUAAAAAUUCACCUAACACAUGCCCUUUUUUGUCCAUUCAAAUCUCCAAUGGUCAAAUAACCACAUAAGGACCUUUACUUUAGAAAGCCAACUUAAAUAAGCACUUAAACAUCUAGCACACAGCUUUUACAUUUUAUGCGAUUAGGUCCUUUUUGCAAAUUAAGUACACAAACAGUUAAAUUUUCGCACGAAACUUUUACACAAAUCAAUUUACAUAUCAUAGACACAGAAAUUAAUAUUAAAAAUAUUUUUCUAACCUGGAUUUGUGGUCCCAAAACCACUAUUCUAACUAAGGUCAAAACCAGAUUGUUACACUCACGCCUAAGGGAAAAAAUGACUAGUUAACAGAUAGUUUAAGUAAAGCAAUUCAACAAUUCUCAAUUUAACAUCGUAACAAAAUCUAUCCAAAAACUCGUAGAAGUCAAAAGAUUUCAACAGAACUUACACAGAAGUCUUUCAGUAAUGUAAAGAAUUCACUAAUUCCCGAUGAUCACGUGUAGAACACACUCGACGAGAAGAAUUCAAAGAAGUAAACCAAAGAAAGAAAAGGACAAUAAACAUAUAUAAAAAAAUAAAAAGAAGAAAAAAAAUACAGAUGUUAACUAAAUUCUAAUAAAUUUUGUCUUAACCACCAGCGUACCUUUAACAACUAGAAAAAAAAUUUCUCUUAACGCAUAUGAUAGGGUUCGAAUUCGGGACCAGAUAGAUGCUUAACCAGUGAACCAGUAGGCUUAUUCUUGUCAUAAGUUCUUACAGAACUACCUUUACCCAUAUACCACAUGGAUACAGAUUGAUCUAAAAAAAUAAAACUUUUAAUGAUGGCACUCGAACUCCAGACCUUAAACAUAGAAGCAGAACACAGAACUAGAGAUACAAAAAUUAAUUACUACAAAAUCUCACAAUUAAACUCUUAAAAUUUUGGGGCGUUACAUAUACUUUAGCUAAUUGGUCAUGCAGCUGCGCUUGCAAUUGAUCUUGCAUGUCUUUUUGAAUUUGUUCUAGUGUCUCUAACCUUUGAUCCAUGGCUUUGGUUUUACCACGGGAACUAUAACGAUAUUCGGUUGGCAGAUUCUUGUUGGUUUCCAGGGUAACUGUCAUAAUUUUGAUUAAUUAGGGUUUAUUUAUGAAAUUUAAUGUAUAUGAUGAAAUGUAAUGCUAAUGAAUGAAAAAUGAAUGCAAAAAGAGGCAUUGAUUCUGAUUUAAUUCUAUUAGAACAACUUUAUUAGAAAACAAAUUUCUUUACAUAAAACGAAUAUAUUUUACAUAUACAGUCUUGCCCUAAUACUUAAAGCCUUGACUUUCCUAAGAAGCCAAGCUAAUUCUCGGCCUUGACUUGUUUUUGAUUCAUAUCUCAAGCAUAACAUGUCAGCUUGAACUGCUAGGGUUUGCAAAUGGUCGGCUACUUCUCGUACUUGAGUUAAAGCUUCGCCUAUGAUCUGAUCUUUAUCCCUGAUCUAACCUUGAGAGUGUUAAAAUUGCUCUUUCCAAUGUUCAUUGUUCGUUUCAAGAAGCUCAAUUCGAAGUUCACAAUUUUGCAGUGUGGUCUCGAGCCCUUCUAUUUUUCCCUUCAACCCUUCAAUCUGUUCUUCUAUUUUUCCCUUCAACUCUUCAAUUUAGUCAGGCUUGCUUUCAACUCGAUCACAGAGUUGCGACUAUGAUGUUGAUGCAGUGACCUUUCUAAUUCCGCUACCUGGGCUCUCAAUCCAACGUUUUCAUUUUGGCUUUCUAACAAAUCCCUUUUUAGAGCAUCUUCUCGAGCUUGAGGCUCUUGAAAUUUCUUUUCCCACUGAUCAACUUGAAUAUUUUCUUCUUAGAUUUCUUACUACCACUAUUCUGAUGUUUUACCCAACCCAACAGUCCUUAUCGACAAAUGCAGCUUCUUAUAAUCUGUUUUUAGACUGCCUAAGUCUUCCUCAGCCUUGUUCUUUCCUUUUUCUCAUUUUUUCAUCUUCUAACUUCUAGACGUCGACGUCUAAUCAUAGCUAAACCUUUUCCUCUUCCAACUUUUCUAUCCUUUUCCUUAGCUCCGAACUCUUCUUUUUGAAGUCUUGCUUUACAAUCUCUAAUUUAGACGGGAUCACUUGCAAGUGUUCUUCUAUUGGCUAGGUACUUUCUUGGCUUGUGAAGGGACAUUGUCAUUGAUUCUUUUACCCUACCACCAAUCAUAUUCUGGGGUCGUGAUGAGAUUUGAGAAAAAUCUAUUCAUUUUGUGAGUUUGGUUCCUCAUGUUCGAAAUUUCACGAACCUUCUUUGUGUACUUGUCAGCUUUGUAUGCAAACUCACAUUGACCCAACCCUUGCGUUGCUAGUAUAAACUGCCUCAACCUAUACUGUCACAAUAAAAGUAGAAGGGUAUAUCUGUCAACUCCUCAUAUCCCGAGUAAAAGGACCCAGUCAAAGUCUCCACAUCUGUACAAAAUUUCAUCAGGGAUCAUCCAAGAGACCCUCCAUUCAAUGUCUUCAUCUUAAAGACUCUGGAGAAUUGUCAUCCACUUUUUUUCAAAAAUGUUGUCUCGUCUUGGGAUAGCUACGAAUUCUUUCAAUAGAGAGUAGUCCUCGAAAAACACUCGAUAAGAGACUUUUUCUACCUUCCAAAAGUAGUUAUGGAAUCAAGCUAACAAGAUUUAUGCACACCCGAUAAAUCUUCCUUCACCAGUUUUUCGGUAUGCACUUAAAGAUUUGAAAGUUUCAGCCAAAAUUGUCGGGACGGAUAUGACCUUUUUGUCAAGCCGGUCAAAUAGAUCUGAAAUUGCAUCAUCAACGUGCCUUAGUGCUUUGGGGAAGAUAACUAACCCAUAAACACUCAAGGCAAAAACAACGACUCUUUUCCUCGCAUCUAGAUGUACCAAGAUCAAAUCUCGUAGACUUUUCCAAGAGAUGCAUUUACUAUCCUCUUUUUGUUUGAUCUAGGCCGUGACCCAUUGCUCGCUCAUCCCAGUUAUGUUCAUUAGUUUCUUUAAGAAAGUCAGGACAUUGGCAGCUCUAGAAUAAGCUUUGUCAACUUGGAUCCUCGGGCAACAGAUGUAACACCCCUUACCAAUGUCUGACGUCGGGACAGGAUAUGAGGCAUUAACGGACUUAAACGCAAACAAUCAUGCAAAGCAGGCCAUAAAAUUUCAUUCAUAUUUUAAAAAAUUCAAUCACAUACACAUGGUCCCUUAUUUGAGUUACAAAGCCCAAAACAUACUUUAAAAGGGUUCGGGACUAAACCGAGAACUUUGGAAAGCUCUAGGAAAAAGUUAGAAAUUUUUCUUAUGAAACAAGGUCAUACACCCGUGUGCCAUCAACACGCCCAUGUCUUCAAGCCGUGUAACUCUCUAUUUAUGACGUCAGUAAAUAAAUUGAACCACACGGCCAGGCCACACGCCCGUGUCACCAGGCCGUGUCCCUCACAUGGUUGAGACACACGACCGUGUCUCAUCCUGUGUAGUUAAAUCUUAGGCUAUUUUCCAAGCCUUUUUGUUACCCUUACAUGCACACACAUUUACAUGGAUCCAGUGGCAUUCAAAAUCCUCAAUUAUGAUACAAAUAUAUCAUUUACCUAUCAACAUGUAUGUGUUACACAUUCCCACAUUAAGCUAAGACUAGCCAUACCAUAGUUAUCUUUGUGCCAAUUUAUUUCAACUUAUCAUCAAACUUCCAUGUUCAAAGCAUUAUUAUUUAUCUCCAUAUUACACAUUUAAUUCAUGGUCAUAAAACAUGCAUUCAACACACAUGACAUAUUGCCAACCAUGCAUGACAAACAAACAUAAUCAUAUCUUCACAUCAUAAACAAUAAAUCAUAACUUGAUUAGCUAUACUUACAAGCCAUAAUCAAUAUGAGCCACAUCUCAUGGCCAUAUAUAGCAGCACAAAAUAGGACAAUACAUUUGGCCAAAUCAUAAUAACACAUGUCAUAGAACUAGGCCCCUCUACAUGUCACUCACUUGAUAAUUCUAACAUAUGUAACAAUAUUCCAAAGGUAUUGGCUUGAUAGUGUGAUGCUGCCUCCAAUGAUCUCCAACCCCGAGCUGACCUGACAACACUAAAAGAAAUGGAAAGGAGGGAGUAAGCUUAAAGCUUAGUAAGUCCAUAUGAAAAUAAUAAGCAAAUUAUCAACAUGAUUCCAUGGAAAUAUAAUCAUAAUUACACUUUUACUUAUUUUCUAGUCAUGUUGUUUUCUCGAGUCAUAGUUACUAAAUUAUUUAUAUCUAGAGCUACGAAACUCAAACUUAAGAUUCGUAAAUUUUACUUGAAACUAGACUCAUAUAUAUUUUCACCAAAAAAUUUCCAGAAUUUUUAGUCUAGCCAAUAAGUACAGUUUAUUCUUUAAAGUUAAACCUAUUCUGCUACUUGACAACUUCAACCUUUCUUUACUAAAAAUCUAUUAUCUCAUAGUACGGGUUUCUAUUAAUGUUCUUGUCUAUUUAUCUUGAAAAUAGACUUAUUAAGGAUUUUAAUCAUAUAAAUUAUAACUCAUAAUUAUUUUUGUAAAAUUUUUAAUGAUAUUUCCAAGUCAGAACAGGGGAUUCCAAAAUCAUUCUGACCCUGUCUCAUAAAAAUUCAAAUAUCUCAUAAUAUGAAAUUAUUUUGCUUACAUCGUUUCCUUUAUAUGAAAAUAGACUCAAAAAGAUUUAAUUUCAUAUCUUAUUCAACCUAAAUUUGAUUUCCAUGAUUUUUUGUGAUUUUUCAAAGUUACACAACUGCUGCUAUCCAAAACUAUUUUAUUACAAAUUUCACUCUUACAUAAUUUCACUUACUUCAUUCCAUCUUACCGAAAGUUAGCUCAACAAUCGAGCAAAUUGCUCAUAAAUUUCCACAAACAUAUACCUUUAUUUAUUCAUCACAUGGUCAUGUUCACAUGUAUUUUCACUUAGUCGAUUUCCCGUUGAACUCAUCGGAAUAAUAACUGAUACACGGUUGCCUGCACAUAUUACCACCCUUGUAACCGAAGCUAUCUAGUACUCAUAGUAGCUUGCACUUAGUACUACACAUGCGACCAAAAAUCUGGUCCACGUUGUAGCCUGCACUUAGUACUACACACGUGAUUGAAGUUGCCGGGUACGCAUAGUAGCCUGCACUUAGUACUACACAUUCGACCUAAUUAUCUAGUACACAUAGUAGUCUGCACUUAGUACUACACACGUGACCUAAAACCAUCUUAAACACAUAGUAGCCUGCACAUAGUACUACACAUGUGUUCUCACAAUGGAUCAUUUGUAUCAUUUCUAUUCCGAAGGUUCAACUAGGAAAUUCCUCACUUUUCAACAUUUAACAAACUCAUUCAUAGUCUAUUUCAAUUCGUAAUUUACAUCAAAUGAUCAUUCUAUAGGCAGCCACAUCUCAUAUAAUAACAAAAUAUAAUAACAUAAAAAGAAUCGAUUUAUUAUUUACAUACAAACUUACCUCGAAUGUGAGCACGGCUAUUUAUUCCGAUUUAGUCCAUAAUCUCAUUCAUUCCCAAUCUAUGCCCGAAUCUCAUUUUCCUUGAUCUAUAAUAUCACAUUUAGCUUAAUAAUUAGUCACAUUAUUCAUAUGGGUCCAAAAAUUAUAUUUUUACAAAUUUAUAUUUUGACCCCUAAACUUUCACAUAUUUUCACUUUUAACCCAAGGCUCGUAAUAUGAUUUUUUAUCCAAUUUCCUUGCAUUUUAAGCCUAUCCGAAUCAUUUUUCAUAACUAUAGCAGCCCCGAAUUUCCACUAAAUCACACUUUUAUGACAAAUUUUACAACUUUUGCAAAACAGUACUUUUUGACAAUUUCACCAAAAAUCACUUAGUAAAAGUCGUUUAUUACACACCGAGCAUUCAUUUUAUACCAUUAGACAUCAAAACACAUGCAUGUCAUCCAUGUUUAAAUUUUUUAAACACAAACCCUAGCUCAAAAUAUGGGUAGAAAUGAGUAGAUCUUGUUACAAGGAUUUCAAAAACGUAAAAAUCAUAAAAAACUGGUCUAGAACGGACUUACAAUCAAGCUUGGAAACUUGAAAAAACCUAGAUAUGUCUUCUCCAUGCAAGUUUCAGCCAUGGGGUAGAAGAUGGACAAAAAUUGGCUUUUAAUUUUGUUUUAAAUUCAUUUUAAUUACUAGAUUACCAAAAUGCCCCUAACUUAAAAAUAUUCUAUUUCACCCAUUUCAUGUCCAUUUUUGUCCAAAAAAUUAUAAAAUGGUCUAAUUACCAUUUAAGGGCCUCCAAUUUAAAAUUUCAUAAUAAUUAGACACCUCUAACAUGUAAAACUCAACUUUUUCACUUUUUACAAUUUAGUCCUUUUGACCAAAUUGAAUGCCCAAACGUAAAAAUUUUCGAACGGAAUUUUAAUGAAAUCAUCCCGUGAAAUUUUAGACCAUAAAAAUAUAAUAAAAACAAAUUUUACUGUGUCAAAUUUGUGGUCCCGAAACCACUGUUCUAACUUGGCUCUAAUUCGGGAUGUUACAACGUAACAGAGUUGUGUACUCUUCUACGGUGGGCACCAAGUCUACCUUCCCAAAAGUGAAGUAGCUAUAGGCGGGAUUUCAAUACUGGGCAAGAGCUCAGAAUAAGUGCUUAUCCACUUUGACAUCGAGUAAAUAAGGUAAAUCACCAUAUCCACGGUAGAAUAACUGCUUGAUUUCGUCAUCCUAUUGGUCCCAUAUUUCUUUCAACUUUUGAAGAUUAUUCUGAGUCACACUAAUGCGGGUGAAAUCCCAUAAUUCCGGCAUGUACCUAUCCGUCAGACUGUCACUCUUCUCUUGUUGUAUUUUCUUGGACCAUAUUCAUAUGGCUGCAUUGUCUUCCACUUUAUCAAGAAAACUUUUUUCCAUGACAAGCCUUCUAUUUAGCAACUGAACGCAAAUCAACACCCUUUUCUAUGAUGAAAAUGCAAUGCAAUCAUAGCCAAAACGAAAGAAGUCAGUACAUUUCAUACAAAGCUAGAAUACAAAACAAGAAAUAGUAAAUAGAACAUAUAUUCGGGUGACCACUAAAGGUUUGAUAUGGUCCUACCCAAAGUGGGUUCUUUAGGACUCAUUACAUGCGGUUCGGUUCUAAAGUACCUGAACGAGCAAAUUUUUCAAUCUUCACCUAUUAUAGGCUCAUACGGACCAAGUUCAGUUCAGAGGAAUACAUUUCCCUAUGGCUAUACGGAGGUGAAGACCUCACAAAGACAUAGGUACGGAUGUAUCCCGAAAGCGAUCCACUAUCUUAUAUGGAGGUGAAGACCUCAAGAAUGAAUAGCUUCUCACUCCCACCUAAGAAGGGCAAAAUGGAACAAUUAUGCCAUGUAAUGUGCGAAAAUAUACUAAGAGAAACUCGAACCAAUAAAGCAAACAUAUUAAAUCAUUAUGUAACCCAAGAUAAUAAAGACAUUAUUUACCACCAAAAUAAAAUAUAAAGAAUGAAAUACAAUGAGAGGAUCGUCAAUUUAAACCGACUUAUCAAUUUUUGACAAAAAGACCAAAAAUUAACUCGUGGCUUGACUCACUUAUUUAUCCCCAAUAGAGUCGCCAAGCUAUCGAAACCUUUUUUUUUUAAAUUGAAUUUUAUUUUAAAAAUAAAAAUAGAGUCGCCACCAAUCCUUUUUAAUUAGGUGUGAUUGGAUUAGCUCAAAACUUUAUUAUUUUAAUAAAAUGUUAGAUUUAAUAAAAUUAUUUUCGGUCUUACAAAAUCCAGGAUAUAGGUUCGGGAGUUGGUUACAUAUGAGGAAGGAUUAGCACCCUCAUAACGCCCAAAAUUAGUACCUAAUAGAUUACUUGAUAUCUUAAUGUCGAAAACUGAAAAUUUGAAAAGAAUUUAAAACACGAUCCCUCUUUGCAUAAUGUUAUUUGAUUAAGAUAUUACUUAACUAAAUUAAAUUUAAUGGAAAAGGCCUUAUCGUGAGUUAAUCGAGAAGAAAGACCAUGCCCCGUGAGUUAGGAAACGAUGCCUCGAAUUCUCAAAAACCAGAAUAAUAGCCAUUUGAUCGGUUCUUAAAUCUUGCUUUUCGUUAUUUUAAAUAGGAUAUUCGAUUACUUCGAUUUUAGGAAGAUGUGAUGCUCUGUAAGUUAGGAGCAUAACUCCUCGAAUUCCAAAAAUAAUGAACAUAGCAUCGGUUUUAAGUAUUUUCUAUACGUUAGAUAAGACGAAGGUAACUUUUAAAAUGAUAGACAAUUAAUUUAUUUAGGCAUAGUGUAAAAAAAUGAAUAAAUAUAUUUUAACAUGAUGGCAUGGUAAUUAACAAAAUAAAGCAAAAUAGUGAAGGUAAAAUAAAAUGAUAUUAGAAUAAUAAAUAAGUAAAUAAAGAGAAAAACAAAUAAAAAGGUAAAAUAAAAAUGUCAUGCUAGUGAAUAAUAAUAAUGCAACUAUAAUAAUAAUACAUCAAUUUAUAGUAAUAAUAGCGAUAAUCAUGUCACGACCAUUAUCAUAAUAAUAAUAAUAAUAAUAAUAAUAAUAAUGAUAAAAUAAAAAAGUACAUAAAAAAGGGAAUAUAAAUAACAUAAAUUUUAAAUGUUAAAAUAAAAGAUAUAGUAAAUGAAGAGGCAAAAUUAAAUAAAUGAGGGAUCAAAUUGAAACUUAAACAAAACUUAAAACAUGAAUUGUGAAAUAAACAAAGAAAAGGGAAGCGAAGGAUUAAAUUGAGAACAUAACAAAAUUUAAAGUCUAAAUUACAAGAAAAUAGAACAUAAAGGAUUAAAUUAAAAGAAAAUGGAAAAUACAGGGAUUCAGGGGGAAUUAUCCCAACCCUAUUUACAUGUGUCAUUCCCAGAAGGAUCAUCAAUGGGUUAAGAGGACCAAAUAGCAAAAGAGUAAAAUAAAAGGGCCAAAAUAGAAGUAAAAAUAAUAAGCUGUAGGACGAAAUUGAAAAAUAGCAAUGAAGCGGAAGGGGCAAAGCAGCAAUUAUACCCUCCCCUUUAAAAACACGCAGAUCCUAAGGAAAUUCAGGUCGGCCCCAAAAUGACAUCGUUUUGGGGCGUUUAGGGCCACGAUGAAACGACGUCAUUUAGGCAAUCCUAUUUACGUAAAAAAAUAUUAAAAAAUUAUUUUUAAACAGUUUUCAAGACAAAAAUUUACUUUCUCUUUUUUCUUUGAAGCUCUUCCUGUGUCCGGCCACAGGGCCGUCGGUGCUCCGCUGUGGCCAUCGGUCAUCAGCGACGGCAGCUGUCACCUCCGGUGGCUGAAGUUGUAAAAAGAAAGGCUUUUUUAUCUCCAUUUUACGGGGAACCCGAAUCUAAGGCCGAAAUCCUUAAAAUCCGGUCAAAAUCCAAAAACGCAAAAGGGACCUUUUGGUUCGCGGUCCUCCUCCGACGCAGUCUUUCGGUGAAUCCCCAAGGAUUCGACAGCUUUUCAAGCCAGAGGGGACAUCGACAACGGCGACAAAGGUGAAAAAAUGUUUCGUAUUUUAUUUAUUAUUUUUUAUAUGUAUACGAUAUAAAAAAAAACCUUUUUUAAGAACAGGAAGUUUUUAUAUCUUUUUGCUCUUCUCCUUCUCUUAUUACAAUCUGUUUAUUCGGCUUUUAUAGCCGAUUGAUUACAAAUAUUUGUAUUUGCUUUUGCUUUUCUGCUUCUGCUUCUAUUUUUGUUUUUUUCUUUCUUCUUUGCAGGUCGAGAUGGUAGUCAACGAUGAUGGUGUAAGAGUAUGCCCAAAGAUUAAUCAUAAGAUGGUUGUAAUAACAUACUUGAUUUACCAUGUUUAUUAAUAUAAUGCGUUUCCAUUAUUAUUUCAGUUUCUUUUCUGUGUGUAUAAAUAAAUUGUUUUAUAAUAAUGUCCUGAGAAUAAUAUGAUUGUUCUUAAAAGAUCCUUAGUCAAGUAUUAUUGUUGACUAGGACAACAAUAAUGCAUUAAGUCUAACAUGUAGUUGAUUGAUGAUAAAGAGUUGUCAUUGAUAUGGAGUGUCAAAAUCAAUGCAUGAAUAUGUGUGUUAGAGAACAACAUAUUGGACUGACCCACUAUGAGUAUGUUUCUUGGAUUAUUAUGUAAUUGUCACAACAUUACUCAUAGUGAUUAAUAUGUAUCUGAUCCUCAGACUUGAGAUCAUCAUUAUCCCAACAUCGUGAGUUGUAUAUUUUGAUACAGUCAAAUGUACAUCGUAACUGAUUGUUCUAUAAAGGCUGAUGUUGGAUAUACCACAAUCUAUGUAGAGGGAUAUGGUUGAUCAAUAUAGAAUAAGUCCCUCCUACAUAAUGGGAGUAAUAUCUUAGGCCACUUGAUUGAGUGAAACUAGAAAUGCAUGGCCAUGCUCAAAUAAGUUUAUAUGAGAUGUCAUACUUAUUUGUAUAUCAUAGUCUACUCAAGAUAUCAAGAAACAUGAGAUGGACUAUGCUAGUGUGAUUAUUCCAUGACUUGUGUUCAUUCCAAAGAUAAAUGACUUAAGGAUUAAUGCAUGAAAGGUAAAUCACAAAAGGUUAUGUCGAAUCAUGACUUCCUGUAACUUAGGUAGCAAUGAUGCAUUACUAGAUGCCACUCAUUGUCUGUAACAUUAGAAUUGUUCUAGUAUUACUGCUAACGUUAUAAGGGCCUACUGGGUCACACCAUAUGAUUGAGAUGAUCGGAAUAAAACAUAGUUGGUAUUGUGUUUGGUUGUCACAUGAAUUAAAUUAAUUAUAGAAUUAAUUUAAUUGGGCAAUCAAAUAUCGAACAUAUUAUAUGUACAAGGAUGUUGUAUACAUAAUGAGAACAUAAUUCUAUUAAUAUAUGAAUUUGGUUCGUAUAUAAAUUUAAAUAAAUAUAGUUUACCGAAAUCUUUGUUAUAAUUAAUGUAAUUAUAAUGUUUGGUUAAAACAUUAUUAUAUUUAUUUAUUUUAAAUUUUUUUGAAUUAGGAUUCGUUAUAAAUAUACCAAUUAAAAAGGGGAGUUAUAUAUAAAUAAAACCCGAAAACCUAGCUUGAGUGGUCUAGCGGCCAUCAAGCAAAGAAAUCUCCAAAACAGUUUUGGGGACUUCUUCCGUUCAUUGUCAAUUGGGUAGAUUACGUAGAGGUCGGCAUAUGAAAAAGUUGCGACUUGGUUCGAUAGUAGUUCUGAAUUCUUGUUGCCGAGGCGUCGCUAUCUACUCAGAUUGAAGUUUUGAUGAUUUCGAAACCAUUAUUAUAAUUUUUUUUCUUGAUUUGUUCUUCACACAUGGAUCCAUGGUUAGGAUUGCCGGAAUUUUAUUUUUCAGCUGCGCCUUGGGGGCACCAGCAUUCCAACAAAUAGGAAUCACACCCUUGCCAUUUCGGUGAAACGAUGGCAGGGGAGGCAGUCCUCAGGCGACGCAUCAACUGACGUGGCCAAGAGCAGCGGCGCAUAGGGGAUCUAGAGUUUUUUUUUUAUUUUUUGAAAAAAAAUUUAGGUUGUGAGUUUGGGCUUGUGUAACAUUGAGUUUCAGUUUGUAAUUUGGGUUAAGGUAAAUUGGGCUGUAUUUAUUUUAUUUUUGUUUUGUCUUUGUUUAAGUUUAUUUAUCUUUAUUGAGCUGGACAAAAUUGAGCUAUUACAAUAUUAAAAAUGGUUAUACACAUAUUAAAAUCUUUAAAAAUAAAAAUUAAUAUACUCGUUGGAUUCAUCCUCGAUGGUUCAGUCAUGUAAAUUUCCUUCUCGCCCACCCUUUCGCAUUUAAAACACUGAAUCAAUGACCUCAAGAAGAAGCAUAAAAUAAGGUGGUCUAAUCCCAUUCUACGGCAAGUUCGUCUUAGCGUCUAAUUCAAUUCUAGCUUCUGUAUUUCAACAAAACUAGAAUGUUGGUCUAACUUUUUUAUUGAUCACCAGUAGUCCCCGCAAGAACAUGAACCAUUCACAAAAUGGUGGAACCUAUUCCGAUCCCUCAUUACAAUUUUACGGCCGGUGAUCUUAGAAAUCAACUUGGUCACAGCAUGGCAAUCCGAACACACCCGGAGGUUUUUUACAAUCUUGAUAGGGGUCCCCGGUUGAGUGCUGAUAAGACCAUAUGCAAGCGCCAGCUUCUCACUGUGAACUUCAAGUGACUGCUCUUUUUGUUCAUCCCCUAUGUCAUGUAGUACAAUCUCUGUUUGUGGGGUGUAACCAUGAGCUUUGAGCCAACCAUUUAUUUCCUCUAACAUCUCAUAUAUUUCUUUGGUUUUUGGAUGUUUCAAAUCCCCAGCAAGGAACUCAUGAACCCUAUUGCGCACUUCAAUUGAGCUACAACCAGGCUCCUUCUGCACCCCACUGUCUUUCAUCAAGGUCCUUAUCCUCGCCACAUCUUCCCAAUCGCCUUUCGCAGCAUACAUGUUGGAAAGAAGAAUAUAAGUCCCUGAAUUAGCAAGAUUGUGGCUGACAAGAUACUCUGCUAUUUUCUCUCCCAAUUCAAGAUUACCAUGUAACCUACAUGCCCCAAGCAAAGCUCCCCACAAGAUGGGAUCGGGCUCUACCUUCAUGUUCUUCACAAGCUCAUAUGCCUCUUCUAAUCGACCAGCACGACCAAGAAGGUUUACCAUGCAUCCAUAAUGUUCGAUCUUGGGUUCGAUCUCAUACUCCUCUCUCAUUGCAUUGAAAAAACUCCAUCCCUCUUUGACCAAACCAGCGUGACUACAUGCACCCAAAACACCAAUGAAAGUAAUAUCAGUAGGGCGCAAACCAAUCCUGCACAUUUCAUGAAACAACUCCAAUGCAUCUUGGCUGAACCCGUGCAAGGCAUACCCUAUAAUCAUCGAAUUCCAUGCAACAACAUCCUUAUAAUGAAUCCUAUCGAACACUAAUCUCGCAUCCUCCAGGCUCCCACAUUUGCUAUACAUGUCAAUCAAAGCAGUAGCAACACGAACACUCACUUGAAUAUCAUUAUUUUGCAUAUAGGAAUGAAGCCAUCUGCCUGACUCUAAAGCUCCAAGCUGACCACAAGCUGAUAAAACAGUCAGUAUAGUGAUUUCAUUAGGCCUAGAUUUCGCUGCCAACAUUCGCCUGAAAAGCACCAAAGCUUCCUUAGGCAUUCCAUGUUGAGUAUACCCAUCGAUCAUCACAUUCCAACAUACCACAUCCUUCUUCACCAUUCCAUCAAACAGCAACCUUGCCUCCUUAAGCUCCCCGUGUUUCGCGUAACAAGUUAGCAUCGUGGUCAAAGAAACUAAACUCUUCUCGGGCAUUCUCUCGAACACGAGACGGGCGGACCCAACGUCACCCCCUCUCGCGUAAACAUCGACUAGACCUGUCUUUACAUACAAAUCUGAAUCAAACCCAAGUUUGAUAACUUGAGAAUGAAGCAUUUUUCCAUGUUCAAGAGAACAAGAUUUCAAUAUGGAAGAGAAAGUGAACUCGUUAGGCUGCACACCUUCAAAUAACAUUUGCGUAUAGAUAAAUAAAGCUUCUUGGGAGAGACCAUGGAGGGCGUGGGCGUUAAUGAUAGAAGUGUAGAAAAAGAUGUUGGGGUUGAGAGUUCGAUUGAAGAGAGCAAGUGAAUAGUCGAGACGGCCUCGAGAAGAGUAAGAGCGUUGAAGCUUGAAAUUUAGGAUGGGGUGUUGAUGAAGGCCGUGGCGGAGAAGAGCUGCGUGGAUUUGGAGCAAGUGAUGGAUGGAGCUGGAUUUAUCUAAAAGAAGAGCUAGCUUGUCUGGUGAUGGUGGAAAGUUGGUGACGGCGGCGAAUGAGAGAGUGCUACGGUUUAUGGAGGGUGCUGGCGGUGGAGGAGAAGUGAAAAGCAGGGCUGAGGACAUGCUUGAAUGAAGCAAAGUCUCAACAAUUCAGGCACUCACAAGCUUUUGAUAAGCAUUUUGAUUUACAGAGUAUACUCAUAGAUUUGCUUGCUUUGUACUUUUACCUUAUCCAACAUAGAUUUUAAACAAACUUGAGUCGAGUGGAACAGAAGUACCUAACAAGUUCAGAUUAUGUUUGCAUCUAAUUUUAUAUUUUAAUUUGAAAUUUUAAUCUUACGAUUUCAAAUUAUCGAAUACAUAACAUUUGAUUAUUUGAAGACUGAACGGAUAACAAGCAAAAGAUAAUUAUUUGGAUCCUUUUUUUUUUUAAUUUUUUAAUUUUAUAAACACAAUUUAAGAAUAUAUGACCAAAUCAUAAUCCAUACCAAAUAAUUGGUAGUUGUACAACUCAGACUCCAGAUCUUUGAGUCCCCAUAUUUGAGACUACAUUAUCAACAUCACAUAAGGUGGCCCAAAGAAGAAGACCACAAAGUUAAGAAGGCCCACGCUGGAAUGUUGGAGAGAAAUCCCCUAUUUCAAUGCUCAACAAAGAAUCUCGUGCACCCUAAGCUUCCAACACGAAAUUGACACCUACCACCUAUUAAGCCCUUAAUAAGAGCGUAACAUUUGGCUCUCUAGUUGUCACCAAUCAUCUUAUAAAUGGCAAGCACCUUCACCAUUUAUAACCAUCUCGUAAGUCCCCAAAUCAUAUGGUUUAUCUCUUUUCUUUCUUCAAUAUGUUUAACUUGAGCAUCAAGGUGUGAGAUGAAAGUUUUACAAUUCCCUUCUUGCAAGUUCAAGAAAGCAAUCUGAAGAGUUCGUAAGCCCUUAUAAUUGCUAGCAAAUUAUGGGAAAAGCCUUCAAUUGCACCAAUAUCUCACAGGAAACAUUAGCCAUGAGUCCUUCGCAUCGUAGGAGUCUCAGAUGUCUACAAGCUAUUUGGAAAUUCAAGAAUUGUUGGAAAAAUCUGGUUAAAAAAACAAUUUAUAUUUAUAGUGAAAGUUUAAAAAUUUUCAAAAUCGACUUGAUUUGUGAUUUUUAUAGUAAUAAACUUUUAUUAAAAAAUAAUUGUGUUUUGUGCAAGAUGGAUUCAAGUCGAUCCUGACUUUCAACUGAUGACAUUCUCUACUAUUCUUGUACUACAAAAUCCGUCGAGUGUGGGCUCAAGUAAUACGAACCAAACACAGAAUAUGAAAAAAUCAAACACAGAAUAUGAAACUUACUUUCAAUAUGAAAGUAAUUCUCUCAAUAAAAAAUCAAUAAAUAUCGUAAUUUCCAAAAAUUAAAAUUUAUUCUAAGUAAAUAAAUUACUAUUAUUAUAACACCUUAUACCUCACCCGAUCGAAGAAUCCGGAUACAAAGUAUCAUAUCUUACUAAUUGGACUAUGAAAACAACUAAGCAUUUAAAAUCAUACUUAUUUUCAAAAAUUGUCAAAAACAUUUUUACCAAAUUUUUAAGUAACUAGGCUUUUUUAAAUACUUUUUUAUUUUUAAAAUUUUUUAAUGAUUUAUUUAAUUAAACUAUAUGGAUCAAUUGAACUAGUAGAAUUAAUAGCCUGAUUGGUUCGAUUAUCGAUCUAAUUCUAAAAAUCUUGGUCAGAAUAUUUUAUAUUAAUAUACUAAUAUUUGCAAUUAUUGGAUAACGAAAUUUUAGUUGAUAGUUUCUAACUGUACCAAAAAUACCUUAUAUCAUACAAUAGUUAGCAUACAAUUUUCAACUUAAUAAAUCCAAACUACCUUAUAUCAUACUUAGCAUACAAUUUUCAACUUAAUAAAUCCAAACUACUGGACUAUACUUAGAAAAUUAGAGAUAAAAAAUUUACAAAAAUAAUUUAUUGAAAAAAAUGAAAGGGUCCCGCAAUUAUUGUUUUAUUUGCAUAGGAUUGAGAAUAUUUUAUUCAACACGAAAAUGAUCCUAAUAAUUUGAUGACUAUUCUCAUUAUCUAAAUAUUGGUCUAAUGUCAUGUGUUCAUUAUGCUUUUAAGGAUUUAAAUAACUUUUUUUUAUAAUCUCUAAUUUUUCUAAUUUUUAAUAAUAUUAUAAUUUAUUAGCUUUUUUAUUAUUUAUAAGUUUUUAUAAUAUUUCAAUAUUUUAAAUAUGCUUUAUUAAUUUUAUAAUUUUUUAUAAUUUUUAUAAAUUUUUAGGUAAACUAUCAAAAUAGUCACUUUUGUUUACCUCAUGUUAUAUUUAGUCACUUUUGUUUACUUUAGGUUAUAUUUAGUCACUUAUGUUUGAAAUGUUAUGUUUUAGUCACUUAUAUUAUUGCGUUGUAACAUUUUAGUCACUGAGCCGUUAAUUUUCGUUAACGAUGUAACAGUAAGCUGACGUGGCAUGUUAAAUUAUCAUUUCAAAUAAAAAUUUUAGGUUAACUUAUGCAAUCGGUCCCCAUAUUUUUUUCGUUUUGAGCAAUUUAAUUUUUUUCUUUUAUUUUUUUAACUUUCUUUUUUUUUUCCAUUCUCUUCUGCUUCUUCCUCUGUUUUUCUCCCUUUUCCAUUUCUUUUAACGUAGUUUUUCUAUAUUUUCUAUUUAUUAAAACUAGUCCUUAUAUUUUUAUUUUUUUAACAAUUUAAUUUUUUCGAGUAAGGUAAGCUUGUGAACUAGUUUUAACAAAUGAAAAAUAUAGAAAAACUACGUUAAAAUAAAUGAAAAAAUGAGGGAAACAGAAGGAGAAGCAGAAGAGAAUGGGAAAUUAAAAAGAAAAAAAGAAAAGUUAAAAGAACAUAAAAGAAAAAAAACUAAAUUGCUCAAAAUGAGAAAAUAUAAGAAUCAAUUGUAGAAUUUCACCUAAAAUUUUCAUUUAAAAUGAUGAUUUAACCUGCUACCUUAGCUUACUGUUACUCUGUUAAUGGCUUAGUAACUAAAAUGUUAUAACAUGAUAACGUAAGUGACUAAAAUGUAACCUAAGGCAAACAAAAGUGACUAUUUUGAUAGUUUACUCUAAUUUUUUUAUAAUUUUUAUGAUUUUUAAUAUUUUUUAUGAACAAAUAUAAGAUUAAAUUAUAAAUUAACACGUGUAACUAUUUUAUUGGCCUGUCAAUUAAUUUUAAUGGUAACAUAGUCAAAUAUAAAAGCUAAAGCUCAAUUGGUUGUAAAUUUAGUGGAUUUAAAAAAAUUAUAUUUAAAUCGAAAAAGCUCAUAGAGUAAGCACAGUCAUGACAUGAAAUCGAGUUGAAUUUAACGUAAAAGAAAUUUGUUAAAAUAUGCUCAAAGUUGUUAUAUUCUUCGUAUAUUUAUGAUUUAGUCCUCAUAUUUUUAUUUUUAAAAUUUUAGUUUCUCUAUUUUUAAGAUUUAAAAUUAUAAGUUCAAUUAUUAAUAUUAUUAAUUCUUAUGUUAAAUUUAAAUUCAUUACAAAUUUUUUAAAUGAUUACAAGUGAGUAAAUUUUUUAUUUUAAGAUAUUACAUUAAUGAAUUUAAUAGAAUAAUUUUGACGUAUUUCAUGAUAAAUAGAUUAAAACUCAAAUGUAAGAUUGGAUUUAAAAUUGAACCUUUCUACUUUAAAGAAAUUUGAUAAUUUUUAUGCUGAAGUUUAAAUUCAAUCAUUUUUGUUUGAGGUUAAAAUCAAGUUGGAAUUAAUUUUAUAAUAUUGAAUAACAACAAAGUAAAAUAAAAAAAUAAUUGAUUAAAUUUAUAAAUGAUUGGUCAGCAUAUUAAAUUCAAUUCUAUAAAUAAUUUAACUCGAUAAUAAUAAUGAAGUUAAAUUUAACUUUUCAAACUAAACUAAAGUAAAUUGCGAAGCAAAUGCUUGAUUUGCUAGCCAUUGCAUCUAUGUAGGUGGCAAAUUGUCAAAAAUAACAUAAAACUUUCACGUUAUUUUAGAAUAAUAAAUCAAUUUUUUUCUAAAUUUUUAACUUUUUUUGAAAAAAUUUAAAUUUAAUUAAAAUAUUAAAAAUUAAAAGUAAAAUUCUAAUUUAUUAUUCUCCUAUUAAAAAAUAUAAAAAAUAUAUGGAAUCGUAGUUUUAUACCCUCUUCCAUUCUCUAUAUGGUAUAUGGUAAAAAAAAAAAAAAAGCGAAGGCACUAAAGCCGAAAAAGAAAAGGCCACGAACAAUGGUGGGAAAAGCCAAAAGCACCAUCCACUAGACGCUGCCUACACCCCAACAUGCAACCGGAAGAAAAUAAGGUUCCGUUACUAUCCGAUCAAGACUCGGACGAGGAUGUAGCCUACGACUCCGGUUAAAAGGUCCACAUCGUUGGAAUCAACGAACCGGACGAUGAAGCUUCACUGGGUGUCGUCCCACCUUUUUCCUGGAAAAAGCUUUGGCUUUUCGCCGGAGCCGGUUUUUUAAUCUCAAUAGCGUUUUUGGACCCUGGGAAUUUAGAAGGCGAUCUCCAAACCGGAGCUAUAGCCUGUUACUCUUUACUGUGGCUGUUGAUGUGGGCUACGGCUAUGGGGUUGUUGGUUCAGUUGUUGGCUGCAAGGCUUGGUGUGGCGACAGGGAAACACUUGGCUGAGCUUUGUAGCGAAGAGUACCCGACUUGGGCUAGGAGGGUUUUGUGGGUGAUGGCGGAGCUGAUAUACAGGAAGUCAUUGAAAGUGCUAUUGCUAUUAAGAUUUUGAGUAAUGGUGCUUUGCCUUUGUGGGCUGGAGUUCUUAUUACAGCUAGUGAUUGGUUAGUGUUCUUGUUGAUAUUUUGAGUUAUUAUUAUUGUAGUUAGAAGUAUUUGUGUGCAUUAAAGGUUGCUUCUUUAUGAUAUAUGAUGUCUGAAUUUUCAAGGUUUUCGGUUUAUUUUCUAUGCUCACCUGGUUCUUCGUUUUCUUUGCCUUGGUACAGUUUUAUCUUCUUGUUUCUUGAAAACUAUGGAGUGAGGAAGCUGGAAGCAUUUUUUGCUGUCCUUAUUGCAACAAUGGCCGUCUCAUUUGCUUGGAUGUUCGGUGAAACAAAACCAAGUGGCACCGAGCUUCUUCACGGUGACAAACUCGGCUCCAUUGUAGCAAAUUCCAUGCUUCAUAUAUCUCAAUAAAUUUCAUUUAGUAUUGCAGUUCAUUGAUGCUCAAAUGGUUUCAUAUUUUCACAUGUGUUUUGGUUCCAAAACUCAGCUCCAAAACCAUCAAGCAGGCUGUGGGAGUUGUGGGCUGUAUUAUUAUGCCUCACAAUGUAUUCUUGCACUCUGCUUUAGUGCAAGUAACAAGAAAGGCCAGGUGCAAGAAGCUCUCAAUUAUUACUCGAUCGAGUCGACUGCUGCACUUAUAAUUUAAUUUAUAAUCAACCUGUUUGUUACCACUGUCUUUGCUAAAGCAUUUUGCAGGCCAGUAUCUUGAAGAAAAAUAUGGAGGCGGGUUACUCCCCAUUUUGUAUAUUUGGGCUAUUGGGUUGUUAGCAGCUGGACAAAGUAGCACUAUUACAGGCACUUAUGCAGGGCAGUUUAUCAUGGGAGGCUUCUUGAAGCUGAAGUUGAAAAAAUGGGUAAGAGCUUUGAUCACAAGGAGUUGUGCAAUUAUUCCUACUAUUAUAGUUGCUCUUGUUUUCGAUUCGUCUGAAGCAGCCCUCGAUACAUUGAACAAAUGGCUUAAUGUGCUUCAGUCAAUUCAGAUCCCUUUUGCUCUUAUCCCACUUCUUUGUCUAGUAUCCAAGGAACAAAUCAUGGGUGCCUUCAGAAUUGGCCAUGUACUCAAGGUAUGCUGCUAAUCGCCUUGUGUUGCGACUUGUUAAUACAUUAACCCGUCUCUACUGCCACUGACUGUGGCAUGAGCUAUAUAAAAUGCGAAAUUGGUUCAUUGAAAACGAUGUAGCGACCCUGAUAGCAGUUAGAACUUCUUACAUUCCAUCUUUUAGCAGGGGACAAUGUACAACUUUUGUUGUCUAAAAGCUACCUCUUGAGAGUUCGAGUUUCAGUACAUUUUCCAUUCAUAGACACUGUUAUACUGGAAUUCCUUGACGCCAUUGAUAUAACCUAGCUCUUUUUCUACACCCAGUCAUGAACUAAAUGCUUGUACCGUUCCAUCACGCAAACUAUCGACUCAUGCUAUUUGAUAAGUUCCACUUAUUUGGUGAUCAACAUCUUCAUACAUGCUUCAGUUCAUCAAUAUUUUCCCUAUUAAGCAUAGGAAAGGAAAUGUCAGUGAGUGAUGAUUGCCUUAUCAACACUAAAAUAAUGUGGUUACUGCAUGUAGAUCCUGUCAAAGAAGAAUUCGCCUUGUUUACGUUUUCCCCUCUCUUCUGCAGACAGUGGCAUGGAUUGUGGCAGCGCUGGUGAUCGUGAUCACCGGGUUUCUUUUACUCAAUUUCUUCUCCUCCGAAGUGAGUGGCCUAAUGUUCACAAGUAGUGUCUGCCUUUACAGGCGCAUAUCUUGCAUUUUUAGUUUACCUUGUUUCUCGAGGCUUUUCGACGUUUGAUACUCCCUAAACCGGCAUAUCGAAUCAAAGAAGUCGAUCUUAGACACCCUUGUCAAGGCAUGAUAUCAGAAAGCUCGAAACACCUUACACCUACUACCAAAUGCCAAUAUUGAUGAAAGCCUCCUAGUGGGAUUACUGUUUGAAACAACAGUGUUGUAAACAAUAUAUUUAUCAUAUCUUGCUGGAUAUAGAGGAUUGGAGUGAGUGAGACUCUAAACAAAAACAUUCUUUUCAAACAUUUCAAGGAACCAAACACUGUAGUUUUGAAAAUCUACCUUAAACUUUGUCCAAGCUGGAUAAUACGUGAACCAGCUUUUCAACAAAACAUGUAUUUCAAUUUACUGAUGCAUUUGGUUUUAUUUUAUUUUAUUUUAUUAUUAUUAUAGAAAUUUCUACUAAUAUUAGGAUUGCUUUUAACAAAUUGCUUUUUUUUUCUUCAUAUUCUUUGAUUCUAAAAUAUCUAUUUAUAUUGUGACCGCUUUCAAAAGAUUGAAACACCAACAUUUCGUAUUGCUUGUACUUGAAUAAUCUAUUCUAAAUAAAAUAUAUAUUACUCAGAAAGUAAAAUGUUAAAAUUUUGAAUUUUUUCAUAGUUUUUACAAAUGGUUUAAUAAUGAUUAAAAUUUUUUCAUUAGCAUUUUAUUUGAAUUAUUAAAAUAAUUUCUAUGUUAAUUAUUAUUUUGUAUAAUGAUGUUUUGUAUUGAUUACAUCUUGUAUAUUGAAUACGGUAAAAUUGAUUUAAUUAAAAUUUAAAUAUUUUUAAAAUUUUUUAAUAUUUAAAGUAUUAAAUAAGUUAAAAUAUUUUAAGUAUAAUGAUUUUUUUGAUCCUUCAAUUUUUAAAAAAUAAAUAUUUAACCCCAAAUAAUUUUUCGCCUCUUUUAACUUUUAAAUUUAUAUUUCUUGUCAAAUUAUCUAAAAUAAAUAAAAAGUUAACAUUGCGACGUGUCAUUCACAUGGUAAUCUAUAUGUAUGUCACGUAAAUAAAGUUAAAAAACAUUUAGCUUUUUCUUCUAUUUUAAGGAAAUUUAAUAAAAAAGACAAAAAAUUAAAUAAAUUGUUAAAAUAAAUUUUUUUAUAAAAUUAGAGAGUCAAGUCAUUAUGCCUAUAUUUUAAUAGAUUUCAUUUAGAUGGAUGAUCAGAUUGAUUCCAAUAAAGCUAAAAUCAGCCGCGAUGAUAAGAUUAAUAACUAUAGCAAUUAGAUUAAAAUUAGUGAUGAAUAAAAUGCGUAAAAUUUAUAUAUACGGGUAUUUUUAAUGAAUUUUUUUUAUUUUAUCCGAUAAAAAUGAUGUAAGGAUAUUUAGUUAUUUAUUACAUGAAGUAGGAUUACUACUUUUGGCCAAUCAUAAAAGUAUAAAAGAAAAUAAAUUCUAAAAUUCCAGUCAAAAUACCCAUAAAGAAAUUCCAAAACGACGAGAAUCUGCCAAUCUCCAACUAAGCAACGCCAGCAAAACGAUUAAAUAAAUUAAAAAAAGUAACUAAUUCCCAAAAAUUAAAAAAAAAAAAAAGAGCUUGAAAAAGGAAAAAGAAUGGCCUAAAGACCCAGCAACAGGAUAGCGAAAUCUGGGACUUAAUUAUUUUUUCUUUUUGGAAAGAUUAGUGAUAUCAAUAAACAAGAAGGAAAAAAAAACCCAAAAUUCAAAGCUGCAUUAAGGUAUUUUUUCUUUGGCUUUGGAAAUCUCUCUUUAUAUUGUUGAGUUCAAUUAUCUUUUUGGUUUUUGUAUAUGCAUUUGUGUUGUUGUUUACUUAUUUGGAGUUGGGUAUUUUUUUGAAAUAAUAGGUAAACCCAUUUGAUCUAAUUAGUUCCUUUAUGAUCAUAUUGUUUCAUGGUAUGAUUUUGAAAGGCUAAGUGGGUGUUUUGGAUAAAUUAUAUUUGAAGGACCACUGAUGGGGUUUUAGGGUUAAUUUUUAUUCAUUUAUUUAUCUGCCUUGCUGCUGGGGAAGUGCGAAAAACAGCUUAUGUUUGUUCAAUGAACCAAUUUAAUUUUUUAAUGAGUAUGACACUGAUAUGCAGGAGUGCCAAAAUCAGUAAGUUCUAAAACGAUUUGAUUAGGUUGUGACUUUACUAUUCUGUUAUUGGGAAGUUGGAAAGCAAGUAAAUUAUAAACUAAGAAAUAUAAAUGAUAUUAGAAACCAUUUCUGAUAGGUUUUGGAAGUAAUGGUUUAGGUAAAUUUGUAGCUUCAUUACAGCGCGCUUGUUUUCAUCUAGUAGCAUGUGGAACUUGACCAUGGUUCCCACGACAUUUUAUGUUUGUUUUUGUAAUUCUUGUUGAGACCUUUAUGUCCUUGAUUUGAAGCAUCAACUGAUUGAUUUGUAUAGGAUGGCUCUUUAUCCCAGUAUUCUUAUCCGGUUAUUUUGUUCUAAUAGUGUCUUUUUUCUAUUCUAAAAGGUGUGUCUGAUGUGCAGUAGGCGAAAUAUAUCCAAAUAACUAAUUGUUGAUUUCCUAGAAAUUAGGGCAGUAGUGAAGAGGGACUGCAGGUAGUACAGAAGCUUACAAAGUAUUGGAGUUAAGGCAAAUUCAUUUUAUCUAAUCUUUAGAGAAGGGUUUGGCUUGUUUUUAGUCAAGUAACUCUCUUUGGUAGUGGGUGAGUGGGGAUUGUGUUAUGUUUAAUGUGGAGAGGUCGCUGCUCUUGAUUAUUUCUUUUAGGUUUGCGUUUGUUACAUUUCAUGGAUGCUAGGAAAAUUAUCAGCAUAAUGAACUUUUUAAGGAAACUUUGCUGUAAUUGCUGUGAGUGUUUUGGAGGUAAAUAUUAUAUUUGAUGGUUUAAAUAUUUUUUUUUUUAUUUUGUUCGUGCUCUUAAUAUUUUAAGUUUCAAUCAAGCUUGAUCUAAAAUUUUGAUUCUACAGUGGGAUUACUAGUUGGCAAAAGUGAGAUUUCAAGAACCUGUCUGGUUCUUGUUAUCAAGAUAGUGUGCUACAUGGGCUAUGGUGCUGAUGUUCAAAAGGGUUUUCUUGAGUUUUAUGGAAUAAUAUGGUUUCCAAAGUAUUCGUCAUCCAUUAUUGAGAAAGGAUUUUGCUGUUAGAAUUUAUGAAACACGGUAUGUACUAUGUCCUUGUUGUAUGUGUCUUUCAGGCUUCACUUUUUUCGCCCUCCAAACUUCUGCAAAUGAGUUCAUGCAUUUUGUCCUGUAUCAGUUCGGUUAUGAAAAAACUGUUAUGUUGGCAGCAUAAGCUCUAGUUCAUUGAUAUUUUGCUUUAGGUUAAAUUGAAUUCCGAGAAAGGAAUUAUGUUGUUAAACUAAAGUAAUUAGGCCCAAAGUUUUCUCCCUGUUGUUUCACGACAAAGAUACUUGCAUCUUUUGUUUGCUUAUUAUUAUUCUUAAAGUUUUUCUCCUUCUACUCUUUCUUACGCGCGAUCUUUCUGACUUUUUUUGUUACCCAGAUCAUAUGGAGAUUUCUUUGUUAAAAGCACUUCUGGGUAACAUUUCCUCAUUUUUAAAUUUGUCAUCUUUUGAGAACAUUAACUCAGAACCAGUUCAGAAGUUUUACCAGAGAGCAGAAGAGAUACUACAGUUGUUGAAGCCAAUUCUUAGCGCAAUCAUUGAUUCAGAAAUUACUUCUGAUGAAGUGCUUAGUAAGGCAUUUGAAGGAUUGAGUCUCUCUAUAGAAGAAUUGAGAGAGCAAUUCGAGAGCUGGCAACCCCUUUUGAGUAAAGUUUACUUUGUAAGUUACUAGUUACUUGAGUUCACAUCUUCACUUAGCAAUUUUAGUCCACUUAUGACUGGAAAAGAAGUACCUAAGUUAAACAUCUAGGCAUUGGCAUUCACCUGAUAUUGUGAAGCUUUGAUCAAUUACCCGUCUGAACAUUAAUAUUUUCACAUGAGAUGCAUGUUGUAGAUUAUUGCUGUCAUUUUACAGUUAAUUCUUGUGGAUGUUUUCUGCCACUAUGGUCUAUGAACACAUUUUCUUCUAAUUUCUUAUGGUUAUUAGAACAUCAUCAUGUUUGUCCUAAGAGAUUGUUGGAAUAUAUGGCUUUUGGAAUAAGUUUAGCCCCUAAGUGCUGAUUCUUGAAUGUUCGCUCAUAUUUAGGUAGAAAGUUGCUAUAUAUGGGUGCCCUUUUAGGAAAUAAUGUUAUAGAAGAAUAUAAUUUUCUUUUAAGGUACUAUCAGUCAAUUAGUGUUGUCCUUUAGUUAAAUGCACUUGGAUAACUAUCUUCUCUUUCACUUGACCUUUAGGUUCUGCAAGUUGAGUCAUUAAUAUCGAAGAUUCGGAAUUUUAGCCUUGAUGUAUUCCAGUUCUUGAAGUCUUCCCAUCAGCAUCUGCCUGAUGAAUUGAAUUCAGCAUCUCUUGAGGUAAUUUAAAACCCAAGUUAAUUGAAGCUUUUACUUUUAUUUGAAGAUUGUACUCUUCAUCUUGUAUUUAAGUUUUAUAAAUACAGCAUAAUUAUUGUAUUCUCACAAUGAUUACCAAAAAACUGUCAUGUAUUGGAGCGUGAAUGGCAUCUAAGUAUACAGUUGUGAGAUGUGAAAAAAUAUGCAGCUUUCAUUUUGAUUUAAUUUCUGAGUUCAAAGAAUGCUAAAGGGGAUUCCACAUUUCAGGAUGUUUAACUAUUGGCAAUUGAUUGCAGCACUGCUUGCAGAAAAUUAAGCUUGUAGCAUAUGAGCAAGCAUCAUCUGUCAUCAGGGAAGCCAUACGGGAUCAAGUGGAUAGUGUUGGACCAUCCUUGGACAUAAUAGUGAAAAUUGCAGAGAACUUGAGUUUGAGGUCAAACCAGGAGAUUCUGAUAGAGGCCGUGGCCCUUGAAAAGUUGAAGGAGAAUGCUGAACAAGCUGAAAAAACUGCAGAAGCUGAGUUUAUUGAUCAAAUUAUUGCUCUUGUAAAUCGCAUGCAUGAUCGUCUUGUAUUAAUGAAACAAUCUGAGACCUGUAGCCCAGUUCCAAUACCUGCUGAUUUCUGCUGCCCCCUUUCCCUAGAGCUAAUGACUGAUCCAGUGAUUGUGGCAUCUGGCCAAACCUAUGAGCGGGCUUUCAUCAAGAACUGGAUUAGUCUUGGGUUCACUGUGUGCCCCAAGACACGGCAAACUUUGGCUCAUACCACUCUUAUACCUAAUUACACAGUAAAGGCACUAAUUGCAAAUUGGUGCGAGUCAAACAAUGUGAAGUUGCCUAAUCCCACGAAGUCCAUCAAUUUAGACCAAUCCCACCCCCUUCUUGUGCACGCAGAGUCUGGCUUGCCAAGGGAUUCAAAUAGUUUUCCUCCCCCUAGAAUCAGCCAACCAUUGUCACCUGAGUCACGGUCUAGAGGUCAAGCUGGUAAGAACCUAGUCACAUCCAGUGGACUUCAUCACAAGGGAACCUCCCCACUACAUCCUCGUUCUACCUCAGAAAGUUCCUUGCCAGCUAUAGCUGGAAAUGGAGGGGGUUUGGAUGUUGCAAGAAUAUCACUAAAGAGUGUGGAAGACAGGUCAAAGUUGGAACGAAGGUAUAGCGAUUCUGUUGGUGAACCCCCUGUGUCACCUUCUAACAAUAUUGGUCAGUCAUCUCAGAACCGCACAAGAUCUGUCUCAGCCUCUAGUGCACUUCCUAAUCCAGAUUCUCCUCUAGGAGCUGUUGGAGAUGCCAAUGAGACUUCUGAUGGUUCAACUCAUCUCGCAGCCUACAAUAGUGAUGCUUCUGGAGAGGUGAAAUCUGAUGCACAGCCUACAGUUAGCUCAGCCAUUCCACAAAGAGAACCUCAGUUUCCUCCUCGGUUGAUGGAUACACGAUCUCGAAGCCAAACAAUCUGGCGCCGGCCAUCGGAAAAAUUCAUUCCAAGAAUAGUUUCUUCUCCUGGUGUUGAGAACAGGGCUGACCUUUCUGGCAUUGAAGCCCAGGUGAAGAAGUUAGUGGAGGACUUGAAGUGCACUUCAGUUGAUACUCAAAGAGAGGCCACAGCUCAACUCAGGUUACUUGCUAAGCACAAUAUGGAUAAUCGGAUUAUAAUAGCGAACUGUGGGGCCAUUGUCUUGUUAGUUGAUUUGCUUCAUUCACCGGAUACGAAGACUCAAGAAAAUGCUGUUACAGCACUUCUUAACUUGUCAAUUAAUGAUAACAACAAAACAGCAAUCGCUGAUGCCGAUGCAAUUGAGCCUCUGAUUCAUGUCCUUGAGACAGGAAGCCCUGAAGCUAAAGAAAACUCAGCUGCCACUCUCUUCAGCCUUUCAGUCAUUGAGGAUAACAAAGUCAAGAUUGGAAGGUCUGGGGCAAUCAAGCCUCUUGUUGAUUUAUUGGGGAAUGGUACUCCUAGGGGAAAGAAAGAUGCAGCUACCGCUUUGUUUAAUCUGUCAAUAUUUCAUGAAAACAAGGCUCGAAUUGUGCAAGCCGGUGCUGUAAGACACCUUGUGGACUUGAUGGACCCAGCAGCUGGAAUGGUUGAUAAGGCAGUUGCUGUUUUGGCUAAUCUUGCUACAAUUCCUGAAGGGAGGAAUGCUAUUGGGCAGGAGGGUGGGAUUCCUGUGCUGGUCGAGGUUGUUGAGUUGGGCUCAGCGAGAGGAAAGGAAAAUUCUGCUGCUGCCCUUUUACAACUCUGCACAACCAGUGGUAGAUUUUGCAAUAUGGUUCUCCAAGAAGGAGCUGUUCCACCACUAGUGGCAUUGUCCCAGACCGGCACCCCAAGAGGUAAAGAGAAGGUAAUAGUUAUGCUGUUCUUUUUUCUUUUAUUUCUCACUAAACCUUUCUUCUUUACCGUUAUUUAAGCAUGAGUUGAUCACAGGCACAGGCACUUCUGAGCUACUUCAGGAACCAACGACAUGGUAGUGCUGGAAGAGGCUGAAAGUAGGCAUUGGGUCUAAAUACAGUUUGUAUACAUUUGAUGCUUCAAAUAAUGCAUUUUGAAGGUUUGCUGCUUGGGCUUACAUUUUAUACAGGGUUUUGUUGUAGAGAAAAAGAGAUUUUAUUUGUAGAGUCCUCUUGUGAAGUGCUUCUGAUACGUGGCAAUUGUGAAAUGUAAGAAGUUUCCUACAUGUGAGUCCGUCUGGUGUUUGCAGCCGGGGGAGAAGACGAUAGGAACCAAUGAAUAACGUCUGUCCUGGUUUAUCCCAUGUGCCUAAUUAUUUUUCGCUCGAAACUGUUCUUUCAGAUUAAACUAAAUAAUCAGAUUGAUUUGUAAGAUAUGCAUUUGCUGCCAUUUUAAGCUUUUCUGUACUUUCAUUGGAACAUUGUCUAACCAAACAACUCCUUUUUUCCCUGUAAUGGUUCAUAAGCUAUAUAUGAUCGUUUCAGUUUUGUUACUUUGACAAUGUUUAACCUGCACAAACGAUCUUGAGAUUCAUUAGCAUUGGUAUUAGUAAAAUAAAUUGUGAUUUUAUUAUAUAAUCGAAAAAGUUAAAGACAGAAAAUGGGUAAAUGAAGGGGAAAAAACAAGAAUAGUGGAAAUUACAGAGGAAAAAAAAAAACUAGAGUUUCCGCCUCUCAGUACACCAGCCAAAGAAUUACAACGCAAAAUGUGGAAUGUGAUCAAAACCAAUCUAGAAGCUCAAAGCAAUGGCUGCCCAUCCCAACGCCAACCCUCCAAUUAUCUUCUUCAUGUUCUUCAUUGCCUCUGCUCCACUCUGCAUUUGUUUACAAUAACUCUUUAAAUUUUACAGAUAAAUAUAGUUUUAAGAUGAAAAAAAAGAUCCGUUGGUCUGUCCUUUUUCAGAAAAUUAAAUGAACUAGCUCAACGGUGCAUCCUUUAGACGCGAUUAAACGAAAAACAAGAUCUCUCUACAUUUAUGCAGUGUAAAAGUUCAGAUCUGAAAGCGCAUUGUUAUAUGAUGUAAGCUACUGAAACGUUAGUAAAGAGAAGAGAAUGUACCUCGUCGGCAGCGACAGAUGGACCGGGAGAGGAAGCAUCGAGGCUCGGUCCAGGAGCUCCAGUUGGUGGAGCGGGAGGUCCAAGCAUAUCAGGUGAAGGAGCCGGAGCAUGGUGUUUCUUGGAUUUCUUGCUUUUGCUCUUGCUUGGAGCUGGGGCCGGAACCUCAGCAGUAGUUGGUGCCGCAACAGGAGCCGGAGGAGAGGCCGAGCUCUCUGGUGGAGUCGUCGGUGCAGCAACGGGAGGCGAUCUGGCUGGAGGAGAGCUCACAGGUACUGGAGCCGGUGGAGAACUCACCGGAGCAGCAGCCGGAGGAGAAGACGGAGCAGAUUUAGAUGGGGCUGGAACCGCCGCAGACUUCUCCGGAGCCGCAACCGGUGGUGAAGAAGUUGGUGGGGAAGUGGUAGGGGCAGCAGUUGGAGCCGGUGAUUUAGGUUUGCUAACAGGGGCAGUAGCGGGAGCAGUAGCAGGAGUAGUCGCGGCCGGCGGAGCUUUAGUAGGUGAGGCUGCCGGAGAUUGACCACCAACAGCGGUCACCACAAAACAAAUCAAAACAACUGCAAAUGCACUUCUACGAUCCAUUUCUUGAAGACAGAGGGAGAGUGAAGUAGUAACAGAAACUAAUGACAAGGAGACAACAGACUCUCA
rnacentral:lncRNA from 1 species